GACAAUACCACAGGUAAGAUAUCUUAUAAGAUAUUUCAUUGAAUAAUCUUGUGUUAAUCUGUCCUCUGCUUUCUCCUCUGUUCCUGGAGGAGGGACUAGCCAUGUGGUAACUAUAGCAGGUCCACUUGCAUGUUCAAACGCCAUGGUUGACAAACUCAAUUGAGUAGUAUAAGAUUAUUCUACUUGCAAGUUAAUGUUUAGAACUUGAUUUUCUUUCCUCUUGUAUUACCUCCCAAAAGCGUUACAGAAAGUGUUUCAAAGAUACUUGCUUUUAGAAAUUAAUUAAUUUUGUUUAAUUAUUUUAACUAUUUAGCUGGCUUUUCUUUCCAAUUGCUAGAAGACCGUUUUGUUUAUUAUCUUUUGUGUUUGUAUGUUCCCCAGAGGCUUUUAAAUGGAGAGGAUAUAAAUUUGUUACCUUAGUUAUUAAUUCAUAUUGUACUGAGAUAAAUUGGAGAGCUAUUAUAUGUUUUAGUGCAUCUGCAAUGUGUUUAAUUGGAAAGUAAUUUUACUGAAAUGGCAUAACCGAGGGCUAAGUCGAGACACCUGAUCAGUUUGACUUAUGGUUUAUGAACGUUUCAUGAAAGAAAGGCUUAGCUUGUGCAGUUUUCUUCCGUCUUGCUAAUUGUUGAAUAGUUGUAUCUUGUUCUUUCAACUGAUUUCCAGGCAGACACUGAAUGCGCGUCAUCAUUGACAAAUGAAAAUAUUUGUUGCACAGUUAGAUCUUGAAACAAUGGAGUAGAAAAGGAAAGCACUUACCUGUGGGAAGCUUUCCAUGUCCUCUUGUAGAAACUGUUGUUUGAAUUGCAUUUGUUCUUUGAUGUUGUGUUCUUAAAUGCAUUAUGCCCUAAUGUAUUCCUAUCUCUCGUUAGGUUAGGGCCGGGGGCCUGGUUGCUAGCUCUAGAGACUCUAAAAACUGAACAAACACCUUUAGUUUUGGGAAGUCUUUUUACCAAGCAAAUCACAUCAAGUAAGUGAGAUGGAAACUUGUCUUGAAACUUGAACAACCUUCUGGAAGUUCCUUGCCUUUUGCUCCAGGGCCAUACAUUUCUUUGUUAAAUUUUAUUACCAUUAAAAUGGGAAAAGUGGGUGACAAUUGGGCGAGGGGCUGGCAAGUCCUUAUAGCUGCCACUUCAUGUGCUGGCUUGCUUUGGAAUUGUAGGGAUCAACACUGUAAUGGCCUUUACUUUCCUGAUUACAGGUUCAUUGUUCAUUGAAAAGCUUUUUCAUGUAAAUGUCAGUGAACAAUCUGACUAUUGAGGGUCUUCCACUUCCUUUUGAUAAUUGAAUGUUUGUUAUUGAUGUUGAUUACCUUUUUGGGGACAAAAAAUGAGACUGCUUCUUUCAGCUAUGCUGUGCUUGUAGAGAAGGUAGUCUACCUUGCAUAACUUAAGGUGACUUGGAUUUUAUUAUUCUUUACUAUGGAGUGGGUCUUAGUUCUUUGUGCAUUUUUUAUCAUCACAGAAAAACUUACCAAUUUCAAUUAGCUAUUCUAUUCCCUUAAAAAAGGUCAGCUAUUUUGUUUUGUUUCGUUUGCUUAUCACUGCACGCACAAUAAAUGUAAAAGAAAAUAUUUACUAACUAAAAGGGUUGAUUAGCAAAUAAGAAGAAUUAGUUUCCUGAUUUAUCAUUGGGCACGUAUAGCUGCUUUUUCAAACGGCACCAAAAUCCUUCCGACCAAAAAUGAUUCUUGUUUUGAACAGUAACCUCACCAUUAUCACCACUAGCAACUUCACCACUGCACAUAAUGUCUCACUAUUGCCACUACAGUGUGUAUGCUCUCACUUGCAGCCACCACCACUCUCACUGAACUUAAAGUCUAUAGAUCCACUCAUCUGACUAACUUUUUUUAUCACCAUUGUCGGGAUAUAAUUUCAAGUCGUCGAGUUGUUUAAUAUCAGUAUUGGAGUCGUUGAGUUGCUCUAGCAGUUGUUGCAUUGAGAUUUCGAUGACCUAGGACGAGUAAAACGCUGGGGGAUAUAAACCAGGGCAACAAGUGCCAAACAUACAACGAUGCCAGGCUAGGUUAGUUCCUUAAAAUUUCUCUCGUGCUUAAGUAGUUUUAAUAGGUAAAAUUUUUCUCUCUUUUCGAUUUUUUGUGAUGGUUGAUAGAGGUCACUAGGGGUGGGCAUUUUACCCGAUCUGACCCGACUCGACCCGAUAAAUUUCGGGUUCGGGUCGGGAUCGAAACCCGAUCGGUUUGAAAUUUACAAACCCGAUCGGGUUGUGAUCGGUUCGGGUCAAACUUGACCCGAUCUGAAUACCCGAUCGGGUUGUGAUCGGUUCGGAAAACGCACUGACCCGAAUUGACCUGAUUUCAACUGACCCUAUUUCAACCGACCCGAAUUGACCCGAACUGACCCAAAUUGACCCGAAUUGACCCGAACUUCUUUACUUGCACUCCAAUGGGUGUCAUGAAACAAAGAAAUUGGUCCUAGAGUGUGUCCAAGUCUUUUAGCCUAUAAUAUGCAAUAUCAAAAAGAAAUUAUUAAAUUCAAUUAUAAAUCAUUUGAAAAUAAAAUUUAUAAAAUAUUUAAUAUACAAUUUCCUUUUGAUGUUGUACAAAAGGCUUGGAUCCACCUUGAUGGCCAUAUUUUAGUUUCUUGUGAUUUUCAACAUAAAUUUUGGAUCGUUGCUAGGGGUGUUCAGAAUCUGAUCUGAUCCGUUCAAUCCGUCCGAUCCGUAUAAAUCCGAUCCGUGGAUUGAUGGAUUGGAUUGGAUUGAAAUUUUAAAAAUCCGCAGUUGAUGGAUUGGAUAUGGAUUUACUUCUGUGAAUCUGCAAAAAUCCGUGAAUCCGUAAAAAAAAUAUUUAUUUAUUUAUUUUAAAAAAUAUUAUAAAUAUGACAUUACAUAAUUACAUAAGUAUCAUAAUAUAAUUUAGCUAUUAUCUAAUAAAAAUAAAAAAUAAAAAAUGGUUAAAUUAGUGGUAAAAAAAUUAAAGUAAAAUAAAGUCAUCCAAAACCAAAAGUAAACCAUUAUCUAAUAAAAAUAUAAAAUAAAAAAUGAUCAAAUCGGCGGUCAAAAACUAUUGAAGUAAAGUCAUCCAAAAGUAAAAGUAAAGUAACAUAAAGCUUUUAUCAAAAAAAAAAAAAAAGUAACAAUAACAUAAAGCCAAAAGUAAACUAGAUAACGCCAAAAGCCCAAAAGUAAACUAGCACUAUAACGCAAAUCAGAGGUGACGAUCAACAAUCUGCAAACUAGGGGUGGGCAUUUUACCCGACCCGACCCGAUAAAUUUCGGGUUCGGGUCGGGAUCGAAACCCGAUCGGUUUGAAAUUUACAAACCCGAUCGGGUUGUGAUCGGUUCGGGUCAAACCCGACCCGAUCCGAAUACCUGAUCAGGUCCUUAAAAAAAAAAAAAAAAACGUACUGACCCGAAUUGACCUGAUUUCAACCGACCCGAACUGACCCGAUUUCAACCGACCCGAAUUGACCCGAAUUGACCCAAAUUGACCCGAAUUGACCCAAACUAACCCAAAUUGACCCGAACUCAAUCCUACCCAUUUUAAAUCCAACCCGAACAUAACCCGAAUUAAUGACCCGACCCGACCCGAACCGACCCGAACUAUGUUCGGGUCGGUUCGGGUCGGGUCAUUAAUUCGGGUUAUGUUCGGAUUGUUCCUUGUCUAACCCGAACAACCCAAAACCCGAUCAGAUUGACCCGAACUCGACCCGAACCCAAUUUUGUCCACCCCUAGAGGUCGCAUUUAUUUUAUCCCUGAGUCUUAGGUAUUAUCCUAUAUAUUUUAUUUAAGUUGGAUAUGAUUGUGUAUUUAUACCUUUAUGACGUUAUAUUGUUGACCAUUUUUGGUUUUUGAAUGAAAUUCGUUCUUUUCAUUGAAAAAAAAAACGUACAACUAAAAGGAAACCAAGAUACGUUAUACCUUGAAUUUUUUAAUUAAAAAUUGAUAAAAUCAGCUAAAAUGAGACAAUUACAUCUCAAUCUAGUAAUACCAAGAUUAAUUUACCAAAAAAAAAAAAAUCAAAAUAAACCCAAAAAAAAACUCAAAAUGACUCAUAAUCUGAAUUGAGUUAAAUUGAAUUUAACCUGAAUAUGAUCCGAUUGAAAUGUAAUUCAAAUCCAAACUGAUCAGAAGUUCAGAUUGAAGUCGGAUAACUUUUUCCCCAAUCCAAUCAACUCAAAAUUCGAUCAAGUAUAUCGGAAUCCAAAGUUGCCUCUUUUAUCUAUAUAAAGCUUCAUAUUUGUUUUGAAAAAAAGUAUUCGCCCACCGAAUCCAUAGUUGCCACUUUUAUCUACAAAAAGCUUCAUAUUUGUUUUGAAAAAAAGUAUUCGCCCAUCAACACAAAAUCAUAUAAUUAAGCACCGAUUGUGAAAUAUAAUAUAUUUUUUUUUUCAAAAAAAAUUUAAUUGCAUUUGAAAUAUAUAGAAAUAAAAGUAUUGUAUGUAUUUCGGGGUUAAAACAAAUCACUGAGCACUACUAUAAAGUACUUUAAGCUCUUUUGAAGCAGUGCGUUCGAUAUCUGUAAAAAAAUAUCCCUACUUACAUGCACAACACAAACUAGAGCUCUACCAUAAACUACUUUAAGCUCUUUUGAAGUAUGUUUGCUCCACCAACAUGAUUGACCAAAUUAAUUGAUGUAUCAAACAAUAUAACAAGGCUUCAUAUUUAAAAUAAAUAGUAAUUUUACCAUAAGCCCCCCCCCCAAAAAAAUAAAAACUUAAGUCUCCGCGGAUCUAAAUCUAAACCACCAUAUGAAUUUAGAUAUAUAUUAAGAAAAUCCAUUGUAAAUUCAGACUUGUGAAGAGAGCAAAAUUAAGGAAAAAGUUGUUGGAAUAAAGCUGAGUUGGAAGAGAGAAUGAUAGAAUAGAUACCAAAAAGCAACGUAAUUAUCUAAAAUGGAUACAUAUGUUGAUAAAUCCUUAUAUACAACUUAAAUUCUUCCUGGGGGUUUUCAUACAAUCACAAUUUUUAGUUACACCAAUCAAAUCUCGUUUCCAGACUUGCGGACGAGAUUCAAACCCUAUGCUCCUGUGCCAUCACAGGGAAUUUUGCUAGCGGGACAAAUAAUCUUUUAUUGAUUUACAAAUAAUGUUUUAAUUUUUAAUUACCCUAAUCACCUUAAUCAAUUUAACAACCAACAAUUCUUGAACUGGGCCUCCGCCGUUUCCCUAAAACUCUUAACCUUCACCAAACAAAAGUGCGUACAGCACAGCCCCAGACCCGAACCCGCCCCAGCUCGACUUGUCUUCAACAAAUAGCAAGCCGGCCCACAACCUUCGCCCUUCGCUUGCACCAAAAUACCCCACGCGCGCGUGAUCUCACUCUCCCCGCCAGAAUCAUCCGCCGCGUCCUCUUCUUUCAACUGUUCAACAAAAAUAACGCCCUCCGGCAACGGCGUCGUUCCGUCCUCCCAUUUCGAUUUCAUGAGAGGCCAAUCAUCCGGGACGGCCUUCUCCGUUUUCAACCUCGUCGAAUCGCCGCUGCCGCUGUCCGAAUACACGUGCACCAAUAGCGGCGUUUCACGUAAGUUCUUGACGAUCUCCACGACGGAAUCCUUCAUCCACUUGUCUAUCACAUUCUCGCUCCAAACGCUCCGCUCCUGUUUCCGCUUCGGUUCCACCAGAUCAAUAUCCGCACGCGAGGACGAUAUCGGAAUCGGCAUCGCGUGACAUUUCCUAUUUUCGCUCAUCGCCGGCGUCACAUUCAAUGACGCAAUCGGAGAACGAAUUUUCGUAAUCGUUCCGCGGCGGUUCGACGAAAACGUCGCUCCUGCUCCUCCUCCUCCACCACCGCCGUAAUGAAUGCCAAGCGACGCCAUGGAGAGGAAGAGGGAGAGAGAGACUGAUUAAUUGAUCAAAUGCAAAACCAAAACCGAAACAAAGUUUGGAUUUUUGAAUUUUUGUUUCGCGUGUUUCUGGUUUUGGUUUCGUUUGCGUUAUCAGAGAGUUUUAAUGGAUUUUUGAAUGAAGCAAAGAAGCAAAUUAUUGGACGGUCAACAUUGGCUUGAAGAGUUGCGAUUGGAGGAAGGAUGCGUUUGAUUUUUCGCGUGAGUUGGAGGAAGGCUCUUUAUAGUUUAUAAUUUCGCCGAAACUUGCAAUUUGUUGCAACACAGGUCACCCAUCAGAGUCACACCUCACCAGGAGGGUAAGGGUUCCCUGGUCCCGGUCUUACGAUUAUUAUCGUGGAUCUGAGUUGAUAAAAGGAAAAUCAAUUUACACGUCACUUUUGAGUUUUGAGUGUCCCAACUAAACUGCAUCUUAAAUUGAUAAAAUUAUGUUACCUAAUGAAAAAAUAAAAACUACAUAUUAAUUCUUAAACUUCUUUGCCAAGUAGUAAAUUUAUACAUGUGGAAAAAAAAAUUACAAAUACUAAAGAGCUCAUUUUUUUUUUAAAUUUUGAUCAAAUUUAUAGUGCAUUGACUAAUUAGUAAUUAGAAUUAGAAUGAACAAAAAUUGAAAUGGGUUAAAAUGAGAUUUUUAGAAUAAAUUAUUUAUUUGAGUUAUAAAAUUUAAAUGAAAAACAUUUUUAUUGAUGUAUUUACUUUAUUUAAGAACUAAAAUGAAUCAUUCUAAGUUAUUAAAAUAUAUUGAUUUAAUUAUUCCAGUUAUUUAAUAGUUGAUUGAUAUAAUUCACAUAUAAAAAUAAAAUAAAAUAUACUUAGGUAGGGGUUUUUAUUUUUAUUGUUCAGCAAGCCAAUUAAUAUUUGUGGAUUAGAAUUUCAUUGUAUCCCCAUCUAAGCUGAUUAUUGUUGAUAAUUAUAGUUCAUAAGGCGAUUAUUUUACUACCGAUUGUAGAGGAUUUGAACCACGCUGAGCAAAGUGCCACGAGGUCCACGAGAAGCAAAUCUUUGGCAGGGACGGAGUCGAACACGAGGUUUGCACGAGGUCUGCCAAGUGAUUAAUCGUAGCCGUUAAUAUUGAUCGAACGGUCAACAGAGGUGAAUGUGAUGGCUUCAAAUGAAAUGCGCGCAAGCACGUGGUCGCUCGUUGAGAUUGCAUGCACCGCCUAUGCGGCCACACGCUGCGCGUCUCCUCUAACGCAACUCUUUUCAUGUUUUCCACGUGGUGUCCAUGUCAGCAAUACACAUAUGGCAGGCAAAACGAUAAGUGUGGAUAGCCAAAUCUUUCCAUUUCCCCACGUAGGCUGUCAAGGCACCAGAGCUACAUACAUACAUACAUAUACAUACACACAUACAUACACACAUACAUACAUACGUGUGUGUAUAUAUUUAUUUAUUUAUAGACAUAUAUAAAAUAAUUACAAAUUAAAUGUCAACAAUAGAGUACUUGCAAGAAAUACUAUAAUAAUUAGUUUUACAAAUCCUCUCUCAAUUAUUGUAACAAUAUCACUACUAUUUUUUACUCUAUAUUGCGGUAAAAUUGAAAUAUAAUGUUAGAGGUACAAUAUUUUUUUGGCACAAAUUGUGUUACAAAAUCAGAAUUGUGGCCUGACAUAUAUUAUUUAUUCUCAUUGGUUGCAUUGUUUUCUGGUUUAAUCAAAGCUUUCAUUUUGCAUCAGUUUAUGCACACCAAUUAAUAAUUAUAGUCUUACACUAUGAAUUUUAAUAAACUUUGCAAUGGGACACGUUUCGUGUUUUUAUUCGCGGAGCUGUAUUAUGGGUUCUACAACGGCAUCAAUAAGAACACUUCAUGUGUCCCAAAGCAUUAUAGGAGCUCUCAAGUAGAGAUGGCAAAACCCCGGGCCGGGUCCGGGUAUUGCCAUGACCGGACCCUGCCCGGAUGCAACCGGUCCGGGUCCGGGUCCGGGCCGGGUUUUAAUCUGGGUACUCAGAUUUUAUAUUUUUUAAUAUUUUAUGUGUAUAUAUUUUUUAUUUUUUGAUAAUUUUAUAAGUUUUAAAUUUAUUUCAAUAAAAUUUGACAUGAAAAUAUAAACUUUAAGUGUUUAAAACUUUAUAUAUGUAUAAUAAAUAAGUCAAAUAAAUAUAAAAUAUUUAAAAUAAUAUAUAUUUUAUAAUUUUUUUUAAUAAAAUCCGGGUUCCGGGUUUAUCAAGUGAUGCCCAAGACCGACCCGGCUUCAUACCCGGACCAGGUAAUACCCGGCCUGCAACACCCGGGUACGGUCCAGGUCCGGACCGGCCGGGUAUUUUUGCCAUCUCUACUCUCAAGCAAUUACCCAAUAUAAUUUUAAGAAAAUUAUUCUCUGUUAAUUAAACUUUGACCGAGUUUGAAUGAUUUAUUGAUGCUCGUACUUGCAUGGGAUGACUAAAAUCUUCGCACGACCUCGAACAUAUGGGGCCCAACUACUUUGCGAUGGGUAUGGCCCUACAAAAGCCUUUAGAAUAUAGUCGGACAAUGAGGCGCCAUUUCAAUCAAUAAGGUGAUGUACGGAUGUUUGGUUGGGAUGAGAAAAUAGAAGAGAAGAAAGUAAUUCAAAAUUUAUUUUUAUUUUUAUUUUUAUUAUUUAGUUACACAAAAUAUAUAACUUAAAUUUAAUGAAUGAUUUAAGAAACUUAAUAAAAUAAACAAACUUAUUUAUUUAUUUUGAAAAUAUAGAAAUAUAAAUUAACAGUUGCAUGAACUUCACUGGAUCUCCACCGGGCCAUCGCUGGAAAUUAGCUAGACCCUCAGACCAUCAUCGAAAGCCUGCUGUCUAGACCCUCAGACCAUCAUCGAAAGCUGCCAAAAUUUCAACAGAAAGUCACCCGCCGGUGUUGACCGUCGUUGACUGCUGUUGACCGCCUUUUAUUUAUAUUAAAUUAUAUAAAUAGUUAGUAUAUUAAAUUAUUUUAUAUUUUAUAUUAAAUAUAAUUCUUGAAUUGUUUUAGGACUUUUUGACAUUAAAAAAGUUUGGUAUUGAUAUUAAAUUAUAUUUCAUUACUAAUAUAGGUAAUUUAGUAUUUAAGGUCAAUGAUAAAUUUGUCCAAAGAAAAAAAUUGUAAUUCAUUUUCCUAUCAAAUUUGAUGUCAAACUAAACAAUGAAAUUUAAUUUCACUAUUCUCCUCCACUCAUUUCUUCUCAUUUCCUUUCCAUACCAUUCUUUUCCUCUCCUUCCCUUUCUUUAAGCCAAACAUGGCCUAAGAGCUUAUUUGAUCACCUCAUAAUGUUGCAUUAAGAGUGAGCACUAUAUUACAUUAGUACUAUAUCAUUUUUGGGCUUUAUUAAGUACUGUAUUGGAUCCAAAAAAAAAAACUUUCUUAGGCUAAAACGGAGGAAAGGUUCUGUAAUAAUAAUCCUCCAAAAUAAAUCACUUUUCCAAAGGCAAAUGGUAACUUAAAAAAUUAAUUAAGAAAAAAAGUCAAGGCAAGAAGAGCAUGCCAAGCCACGGGAAGACUAAUGUUCAACAAGGCAAACAAAGAAUAAGGAAAAAUAAAGGCUAAGGAAAAACCGAAGCAAACAAAAACUUGGCCACAAGAGCAAGCCAAGCCAAGAAAAGUCACUUUGCAACAAGGCAAACAAAGGCUAAAGAAAAAUAAAGGCUAAGAAAAAACCGAGGCAAACAAAAGCCAAGGCCACAAAAGCAAGUCAAGCUAAGAAAAUGUCACUUUUCAACAAGGCAAACAAAGGUUAAGGAAAAAUAAAGGUUAAGAAAAAACCGAGGCAAACAAAAGCUAAGGCCACAAUUGCAAGCUAAGAAAAGGCCAAUGUUCAACAAGGCAAAUAUAGGCUAAGGAAAAAUAAAGGCUAAGAGAAAAUCGAGACAAACAAAAACCAAGGCCAUAAGAGCAAUCAAAUCUAAGAAAAUGCCACCCUUCCCUACUUCAAGAAGGCGAGAAAGCUCUCAAAUAAUCAUUUUCGGGAAUCACUCAUUUUUCCUAAGUUAAGAAAAAUGGAAAACUUCCCCUAGGUCAAGUAGGAGGAAAAGUUAGAUAAUAAUAUUUAUUCAGAAUAGCUCACUUCUCCCUAGGCUAACAAAGAGGAAAAAGAAAAACUUGUUUAAGAGAAAAAUGAAAAAUUUCCUACUUAUAUUCUUCUAGAAUAGAUUACUUUUUCUUACACUAAUAAGGAAAAGUUCCCAAACAAUUCCCUUAAAAUAACUCAUUUUUCCCGAGAUCAAUAAAAAGGGAAUACUUCCCCUAGCCAGAUAAAGAGAAAAAGUUUCAUAAUACUAUUCCUCCGGAAUAAGUCACUUUUCAUCUACUAAGGAAAAAAAUUCUAAAGACCAACAAAGAGAAAAAACUUGCUAUGCCAAUAAAGAAGAAAAGCUCCUUAACAUUAUUCUUCCGAAAUAGCUCGUUUUUCCCUUACACGGAUAAAGAGGAAAAUUUUCAUAAUAAUAUCUUUUUGAAAAAUAUUUCAUUUCUCCUAAAGUUAAUAACAAGGAAAAACAUACUUAGGCUAAUAAGGAGAAAAAGUUUUGUGAUAAUAUUCUUCCAUAAUAAAUCAUUUUUCCCUAUGCCAAGAAAAUACCAAUGCCCUAUAAGGCACCUGGAGAUUAAGGAAAAACCUAGGCAAACAAAAGUCAAGACAAGAAGAGCAUUCCGAGUCAUGAGAGAGCCAAUACCCAACAAGGUAAACAAAGCCAAUACCCAACAAGUUUUGAGCUUCUCAAAACUUUCGCAAGAUCGCAGCAUUUUCUUGAUACGUAUAAAAAGCAAUCCCAUAUAAAUAGUUAUCGACAACCAAAGAAUCACAUGCAUGGUCAUGAGUUUUGACCAACAAAUGAUUGAUUUGUUAAUUACUUGUCCUUCAUGGGAUGUGUAUAACAUAAAGAAACGCUUGCACCACUGGUCUAAACAUGCAAUUCUUUAGUACUUGUUUUUUAUCUUUGCAAACUCCGGCUGUAGGAGAGAAACAUUAUUAAAAUAAAACAAAUAGAGUACACUUAUUACAGGAUGAAUAAAUUAAAAUAAAACGAUGGCGAUAUCAUCUAUAAAAAAAAACAAAAAAAGGCAUGCCCAAUAUAUUGAUGUCAUUCAAUUAGCUGGGUACAACUCAGCAGCCAACCGGGGCUUUGCACGUGCACGCAACGGCUUAGCCAUAAGGAGGUCGUAUUUUGAUUCGGAGAGGUCAAUCUUCUCCUCACCUGAUGGCGCGCUCCAUUCAAACCCUUGAAGAAGCCUUGCCAAAAGCACUACAGACAUCUCAGACCCAAGUGCCAUGCCCAUGCAACUGCGCCUUCCUCUGCUGAAUGAAAGGAAUCUCAAUUCUGUUUCCGCCAACUCUACUUGAUGAUGAUGAUCGUCCACUGAACCAAUAUGACGUUCAGGUAUGAAUUUCAAUGGAUCUUUCCAGACGUUAGGGUUCCGGCCAAGCCCUAUUCGGCUCAGCAGAACGUGACUGCCUUUGGGAAUGAAGUAACCGGCGACAGUGGCAUCGCGAGUUGAAACAUGAGGCAGGUUAAACGGUGCCACGGGAUGAAGGCGAAGCACUUCCCUUAAACAAGCCUUGAUAUAAUUGAGCUGCGGGACGUCAGAUUCCUGAACAAGUCUUUCUUUUCCAACAACUCUAUCGAUCUCCUCUGUUGCUUUUUGGAGAAUUUCAGGCUGGUUGAUCAUCUCCGCUAUUGCCCAUUCUGCUGCAUUCGAUGGAUUAUCCACUGUUGCAAGUGUCAGAUCCUGCAAGUACGUACAUAUGUUAAUUUAUCGAUCGGUUAAUUUGUCAUUAAAAUUCGAGACCGCGACCUGAUUAUAUAUAACAUGAGCAAUUAAUAAUAUAAAAAUUAAUGUAUUAAAUAAAUAAGAUAUCCAACGUACCAUGCAUUGAGAUUUGAUCUCAUCUACGGAUAACAAUGGAUCCCCAUUUUCAUCCUUUGCUGAAAUAAGAACAUCUAGCAAGUCCUGGUCGUUGUGAGCUUCCUUCUUGUUGUCAGGAUGAUGUCUCCGUUGUUGUACUCUCUCAUCUAUCAUGGAAUCGUGAUACUUGUUGGCAGUUUUCAUGGCCGCACUUAUAAGCUUUUCAUGGCCUUCUAGAUCGAAUACUCUCAUCCAGGGAACGUAAUCUGAAAGAGUGAAGGAAUAAAGGUGUUGGAGUACAACGAAGAGUGAUUCAACGUGUUCUUCUUCUUCAAAUCCUGGCCCUCCAUCUUCUUUUCCUUCGCCAAAGUAUCUCCUAUUGAACAUCAUCUUCCUAAUAACGUUCCCGCAAUAAUGGCGGGUUGCAAGUCUUACAUCUACAACUGUUGCGGCAGAAGCACUUUUGCGGCAUUGGUUAUAAAUGAAUCGAACAAGAUUGUCAGCUUCUUCUCUUCUCUUAGAGAUUAAGGAGUUAAGUCGGGCUGAGCUCAACACGUGAGAAGCAACCAUCUUUCUCAUUUUCUUCCAUUGUUGACCCCAUGGCACGACUGCCACUGACAGGAAUCCACGGCUAGAGUACUCUGUCCCCAUUGUGAGCGGCCUCGUUGCAAAAAUUGAAUCGUUAUCUUUUAGAACUUCCAAGGCUAUUUCUGGGGAAGUCACUGGAAUCACAUGAACAUUUCCAAACCGAAUGCAAGAAAUAUUGGUGUUAAGUUCUUUCAUCACACUGUGUAUCCAUUUGAAGGUCGGCUUAUUCCUCCACAUCUCUGGAAGGUUCCCGACUAUUGGCCAUGCAGCCGGGCCUGGGGGCAGAGGUGGUUGCUUCAUUCUUUUCUGGUCCGUACUUCUUCGAAUCUGCUGGAUAAAUUCAUUCAUUUGCAAUAAAAUUAGUUUAUAUGUCAAAUAAAAAUAUACAAUUAUUGUUCCUAAUAAAUAAAUAAGGGAAACCGAAAAGUAAAUAUAAUAUACCUUGAACGGUUGAUUCUGAACGAAUGAAUGCAUGUCCAUCACAUACUUCCGAAUAGUUUUGGAUUUCAGGUGGAAGCUUGUUAGUGUAACAAGGGCAACAAGUAGCGUCACCCAAACAAUAUAUGUGGAUUCAAAAAUGGGAAUAUCUUCAAGAUAAGAAAGGAAAUCCAUAAUAUUAAUGAAGGCAAUUUUUGGAUUCAAGAGUAAAGCCAAACGAUUUGUGGCUAUCAAAACAAAAAAAAGCAAUUAAUAUUAUUCUUGAUGGAUAUUGAUUGAAUGAAGAGGGGGUUCUCCAUUCGUCAUUAUAUAUAGAAGGGUGGUAUGGGGUUGUCAAGUUCAACGAAACUCAUGAACAACGUUUUCGACAUGCAACUUGAUACAUGAUUCGUCUGUAUCUAUACUAAGAAAUAAAUUUAUGUUUUUCAAAAUUAGUCGUGUAGUGAUUUGUCUUCGGUCAUCACUCACCAACGGUCCAUUACAAAACUUAUCAUAAUCCCUUAAUGAAGUUCUGACUUAUAAUUAAGUGAAAGGAAUAUAUUCCACAGAUAGUUAAUUAAUUAGAGGGGAGAUUCAAUAUUGGCAACAAGAAAAGAAAAAUUCAAACUCUCAUUUUAUUAAGAUUAUCAUUAGUCUGGUUCUAUUCUCAUAGUUUAUUAUAUCUUGCUUUCUUUUAUCAUUUUUUUAUGUAGCCAUGCUUCAUCCCUUCAAGGCGCGGUUUCACAUCUUCAAUAUUGGCUGUGACGGACGGGUAGAUUGUUACCUUGGUUGAUAGAAUAAUCGAUGGAUUUUGCGACGAUGGUGGGUGGAGGAGUGAUCUCUAAGAAAAAAAGAAAAGCACAGUGUAUGGAUUCGAUAGAUUUUACAUUGUGACUAUAUAAUUGCUAUUAUAGCCAUAAAUCUUCUUUUUCUUUUUCCUUUUUUAAGGGAAUUUUAAGAAUGGAUAAAUAUCUUUUGUUGUGAUACUUUUUGCUAGAUAUAAAAGAUAAAAAAGAAAGCUAAAAAUUUGACCAAACAUUAUACUGCUAUCUUAAUCACUGCAAGAAAAAUGUUAUUUUAUUAAAAAAAUUUAGUCACAAAAGAUAACAAAUUAGUCAUCUUGUAUUUUCUGUGACAAAAAAUAUAUCGUCACAUGUUAGUCGUAAAAAGACCGUCUUAAAAAGUUCUAGUAACCAAAAUUAUUUUCAACAUAUUAAAAAUAUAUUUAUGUGACAAAAAUCAUUGCCUUAAAAUUAAGUUAAAAUUGUCACAAAUGGUAUUAAAAAUGGUCAAAUUAGAGAUUAAAAAAUACAAUUAAUGACACUUCAUAUUUGUCACAAUAAAUGAUUUAUAAUGACUAUAAUAUUUGUCUCAAGAGUUUGUAAAUAAAGUCUCAAUAAUUAUUAAAAAUCAUCAUUUGUGUGUUCAAAUAUAUAAUUAGCAAUGCUAUUUUUCUAUUGUUGAAGUUCACAUAUUGCGACGUUAUAUAAUUGUCUCAAGUAGUUGUGAUUUGUGAUAAUUUUUACAAAUAUAAUUGGUAAUUAAUUUAGUCUCAAUGUUUUUUAUAAAGGCAAUUUAUAUAGUCUCACAUAAUUUUAAUAACAAUAUGUAGCCAUAGAAAUCAAUUUUUUUUUUAAAUAAAGAAAGAUGAUAAAUUACAUACCAAGAUGAAGUGAACAAUAAUAGAAAGAUCCCCAAUUUCUAAAGUUCUUAUGAAGGAAUAUUUUUUUGGAGGGGGGAUCUAAUGUCAUCACACCUAAUUCCUAAAUCCAUUGGCCAAAUUGAAAAGCAAAUUCAUCUUCAUAUCCUAAUUUUGCAAAAGUUUCUCAAGAUCUGCUAAACUUCGCUUCCAAUUUCCUUCAUUUAUUGGCAUAUUUUAUGUUUUCUUUUACUAGAUUCCCUUAGGAAUUUUAUCAAACACUUGAUAAGCAUAAAAAUAUUCAAAUAAUAGCUCCAAGAAUUUCAAACCCCUAAUUUCACCAAACACAAUAUAUAUAUAUAUGAGUAGUUUUCUGGUCAGGGAUUUUAAAGGGCGGGAAAGUCUGGGAAAGCUUUAAAACCACACGGCUUUAAAUGCUUACAGUUUUAAGCCUUUAAAACCAUGUGAUUUUAAAGGUUUCCCGCACUUUAAAAUUCCUGAUUGGAACAUUUCUAUUAUGACAAAAAUUAAUACUUUUACUCAAUAAACAAUGCCCAGAUAAGGAAAUUGAACAAAAAAUUCGAGGAAAAGUUGAAAAUUAUUGUGAGUAGAAGAAAAGACAAUAUGGUUGUUUGUUAAACUAAUCCUGAAAUAAUCAUUCACACACACACACACACGUAAUUGCAAGAAGGGAGGAUAAAGUUGAGUAGUUUUUAACGUUAAGUGAAUAGACAGAGAGAAGAUUUAAGUUUUAUUUAAGUUUUAGUUUUUUUUUUUAUAUGUAUAUAUAAGAGCAUCUCUAAAAAAACUCUUCAAAUAAGAAUUUAUUACUUAUUUGAAGAGCUACAUCAAUAUUCAAGAUUCCAAAAGACACUCCAAUUAAGAUUCUUCAAUAAGAAAUGAUUAUCUCUAUUCAAUUUUGUAGAGCUGUUUUCUUACUCUUUAAUUUACAUUUAUUACUUUUUAUUAGAGGGAGAGAAAAAACAAAAAAGUACUUUAAUUACCAUUUACUUUCAUUUGAAAAAAUAUUUAUUUGAUUAAAAUAAUAUUAACUUAUUUCUAUUUGAAGAGUUUUUUGGAGAAUAACAUAUAAAAAUAAUAUUAUCUUAUUUCUAUUUGAAGAGUCUUUUGGAGAAUAAUAUAUUUUUUCAUUCUUCUUUUUACAACAUAGGUAAACUAAUAGAUAUUUAAAGAAUAAAAUUAAUAGAACUUUUUAGAAAUACUCUAUCUUAACUAUUUUAAGGUUUUUCAAAAAAUAAAAAAGAAGCUAUUAUAACCGGUGGCCGGUUAUAAAAUCACUUAAAAAAUAAUAAAAAAACGGCUGCAUGAGAUGCAGCCGCCGCGUUUUACAAGCGAACGCCACUCUUGAGGGCUUUUGACAGAUUCUAGCCAACGACAAGGCAGAUGAUGGUUGGUAGAAGAGAGUUGGCUGAAAAGAUAGAUUUGAUAGUCGGAAAAGAAUUAAUGAUGCGACACUUGGAGCGACCAAUUAAGAGUGAAUUUGAACAAGACGUCGUUUUUUUUCCACCAUGUCGCCAUUGUACUUGCUUGGGGUGAUUAAUUGCUUCAGGCUACAUGAAAACGAUGCGUUCUGCAACGAUAAACUUUUUUUUGUUUUUUGUUUUAACCUUCAAACUGUAAGUUAGUCAAGGUAUAUUUAAUUGCAUGGCAUAAAAUAAAUCGUCACGACAAAGGUUUUAGCCACCGAAAUUGUAUUCGUCGUUUAAAAUAAUAUAUUUUUGCCUAAAGUCUAUAUCAUAGUGCUUGUUUGAGGGAAUCGACGGCCGAGUAUUGCAACGGUGGUUGGCUGUAUUUUUUGGUAUAGGGCUAAUUUUGCACUAAGGGUGUGUUUGGACUUUGGAGUAUGUGAUUAUAGUGUAUUAUAAUACUUUUCACAUUAAUUUAAUAUCAAGGUCAUGUUUAGAAAGAAAUUGUAUUGAGAUAAAGGGGGUGUGCUAAUGCGGUAACUACCGUAUUAACGUUUUGCUUUUGCUUCUCUUAUUUAUUUAUUUAUUUACUUUUGCUUUUUUCAAUAAUAAUAAAUAAAUAUAACUUUUUAAUUUAAUAGAUUAUUUGAUAAUAUUAAUAUUUAUUUUUUAUUUUUACAUCAUAAUUAUUAAACUGCUUAAUUAAUAUUAAUUUAAAAUUAAUAACAAUAAAAAUAAUAACAUAAAAUAUCAUUCCGUUAUGAUAUUAUUUAGAGAUUAUUUGAUUAAAUUAUUCACUUUGAUCUUUAUUUCACAUUUUAUAUAUUUAAAAAAUACUAAAAAAUAAAUGUUAUGCUGCCGAAAAUAUAAGGCUAUAAGUUUCGAUCUUUACAAAAAAUUAUGAUACCUUUUAACAUUUAUACUAAAAAAUAAUGUUAAAUUUCUAAAAUUUAAGACUUCUAUAUUUAAUAUUUUUCUAUGUACUAAUAAAUAUUAUUUUCUAAAUAUAUAAUUUAAGUUAAUCAUAAAAAAUUAAUACAGUACAGUAUAACACCAAACGUUAUACAAUAUUAUUAUAAUACAAUGCUAAUACAAUAUAAUAUAAUACAAUACACCUGCAUUAAAAAUAAUUCAAUACAUCAUAAUUCAAUGCUAAACGCACCUUAAGGGAAAGAAAAAUGAUAUGGGCAUGAGAUUUGUUGAAUAUGCUGAGCAAUAUCCAUUAGACACAUGGGAUAGAUUUCAAGUAGUCAAGAACUAAUACUUUGAAUAAGAACUAGUGGCAUUAAAUAGUAAGUAUUGAUUCCUUCGGUGAAGUUAAGACUCUUAUAAUAUUUCGCUUUCAAAGUUGCCGGCUGGAUUCUUGAUACAAUUUAAAGCAAUGAAUCUCUGAACUCUUGGUUAUGGAGAAACUUCCUGCUGUUUCUCUUUCUUCAAAUAAUUAACGAUUACAAUGCGAUUUAUAUACGACGAAAAGAUCAACUUGUCCAAGUAAAAGCAAAUAUAUAUAAGGGAAAAAGACAAACACACCCCUAACGUUUAGACAAAGGGAUAAAAACCUCCCUAGCGUUUUAAAAAAGAUAUUCACACCCCAAUUUAUUAUAAUUUUACCAUUAUACCCUUUUAGUAUAAAAAAAACUAUUAGAUUAUCCAAUUUGUCUAUAUAUUGUUAAUAAAAUUAUAAAUAUACCCUCAUUACCUCAUUCUUCUAUUUAAAUUUUUAUCAAUAACCAAUUUUUAAAAAAGACAUCUACACACUUAAAAAAAUUGUAAAUAAAUUAUAAUUUUAAAAAUAAAAUUGAUUAUUAAUACUAUAAUAAAUAACAUAGAAAAUUAGUUAUAAAUAUACAAGUUUAAAUGAUUGACAUGUGGAGAAUUGUUAAAUAUACAAGUUUAAAGUUUAAAUAAAAUUGGUUAUUAAUAACCAAUUUUAUUUUUAAAAUUAUAAUUUAUUUACAAUUGUUUUAGGUGUAUAGAUUUUUUUUUUGAAAAUUGAUUAUUGAUAAAAAUUUAAAUAGAGGAAUUGGGCAAUGAGGGUAUAUUUAUAAUUUUUUUUUAUAAUAUCCAACUUGUCUAUUUAUAAUUUUAUUAAUAAUAUAUAGACCAAUUAGAUAAUCUAAUAAUUUUUUAUAUGCUAGAAGGGUAGAAUGGUACAAUUAUAAUAAAUUGGAGUGUGAAUAUCUUUUUUAAAACGUUAAGUGGGUUUUUGUCCCUUUACCUAAACGUUGGGGGUGUGUUUGUCCUUUUCCUUAUAUAUAAUAUAUGGAUUUAACUACCUUACAUUUCAUAUAAGGUACAGUCUUUUUUACUGAUAAUGAAAUUCAUAGUUCAGUUUUGUGAGCGACUGUACCUUACUAAAACAUAAGGUAGCAGUUCCCAUAAUAUAUUAUACUUGAAAUAAUUGUGUAGAAUUAGUAGAAGCAAAUACUUUAUUGAGAAAAAUCAAACCCGUCACUUACGACUUACGUUAAGAAAAUUGACGUGCGCGUUAGUUAAUUAAGAAUAAUGAUAGAGAGAAGGAGCUCACUCCAACCCCAGCAAUCCCAUAUGAAAGAGUAAACAGAAGUUAAAAUAAUGAUAAAAUUAUUCUAACUUUUGAAUUAAUGACAAAAUUUUGCACAAUAAAUUCGCUUUGGUCGGAUUGAGGCGAGUCUCGCUAAUUGGUGGGUUGAAUAUAAUUUUUCAUUAUUUAAUGUACAGAUCAGAAAGAUCACAUUUAGUUAUGGCAUAGAUCUUGUUAACUCAAUUGUAGUCAAGCAUAUAUUCUUUGACCACUAAAUAAAAAAAUAUAUAUAUUAUUUGGCCAUAAGAAUACGUGGAGUUGAUUCCUCACUUAAUAUUGAGUCCUUCGUUGAAGUCUAGACACUUAUUUCGUAGUCGUCAGCUUGAUAAAAUUGAAAGCACUGUAAUUACCAAGAACGCAAUUUUUUUUUUUUUUGACUUUCUGAAGGAAUUAUAUUGACUUCUUCGUUCUAAUUUGACUGGAAACUACGUAAGUUAUCAAGUAAUUCACUAUGAAAAAUUUAGAAUAAUUAUUUGGGAAGACUGUAGUGUAUUAAUUAUAUCAUAUAUGGGAAGGUCAGUUUAAACGACUCGUUGAAACAUGUAGCACCAUUUUUUUUUUCUUUUAAAAUAUGUGUUGCACAAUAGGAAAACCUCAAUAAAUUGAUAAUUUUGAGUAAACUAAGUUUGCUAGUUUCGUGUUCAGACAGAUAGGCUAAAUACAAUUUUACUAAAUUUAUAAGAUAAUGCACUAUAGAAAAAUAUUUGUAGUUUCAUAUAAGACAACUUAGUCUUGACCUAUUUAAUACUUAUAAGUUUGAGAUAAUUUUCAAUUUAUAAGCUAAAUUUUGAGUAUGAAUUAGACACAAGCUUCUAUGUGCUAUCGAUGCCAAACUCAUCCACAAGUGGAAUCACGCUACCUUUUUCAUAUGAUAAGAAUUAUGUAGAAAGAUCAAGUUGCACGUAAUAGAAGGUGUUAAGAGAAAAAUCUCAUAUUAGUUGUAAUGAACCUUUAGAUAUUUAUAUAACCCUAAGGUAAUUCUUGACUCUUGAACUAGUUACUAUGUAUGAGUUUGGCCAUGAACUUUUAUAUAGUAUUAUAACCAAAAUCUUGUAAGAGUUGGCUCACGCAAUCUUACCAGAUGAUAGGGACUAAUAAAAAUGAUCAAUCAGCAUGUAAUUAGAGAUGAUAGGGAAAACAUCCAAUGUUAAUUGAGAAAAAUAUUGAGUAUGAAUUAGGCUUAUGAUAUCAUAGAAAAACUCAUCCAUGAGUGGGCCAUGACAUCUCUAUUUCUGACUAUAAAGAAGCACAAACUUUAAAUUAUUAUUAUUAUUAUUUUUGGGUUUAAUUUCAAGCUCCAGUUUUUCUUGUACUAGUUAAUUUAGUUCGUUACAUUGAACAACAGUUCUUCAUUGAAAUCAGUUUCUGGAGAGGUUUAUAUGUACACACAAUCCUCGAGUGAAAUAGAGAUUACGACAAACCCUGUUGAAAAUAAAUCUAUCAUACAAAAAGAAAGGAGUUAAUGUGUUAUCCAAUUCGAGAAUCAUUGGGCUCGACCUGUUGGUGUGCAUUCUAUAGCAACAUUAACCAAAAUAUUGAUGUGCCUAAAUAAGACCAACAGUCUAGUUAAAUGGCAUCAAGGUAGUAACUUGAAUCAUUCAAAACAUUAGCAGCAAAAAUAUUGCAAAAGAAAAAAAUAAAAAUAAAAGGCAGAGCAAACAAUAUAAUAUAGAAAUAAAUAACGAAAAUAGCAAAUGUAAGUGCCAAAAUAUUUAGCCAUGUGUCUAAAAAUAUUUUAAGGAAUAUAUUUAAGAACAAGUAAGAUUACUCCGGAUCCAAACUAGAGUAAAACCAAGACGUGAUCACAUAAAGAAUUACACGACUACCCAUACAAAACUCGGAAAAGAUUGUUGAUCUAAUGAAAAAAAUGUAAUAAUAAGUGCACAUGAUUACUAAUAACAUCACGUAUGGAAAACUUGAACACACCCAAAAAAAAGGUUAUAAAAUCUAAUGGUGUAAAAUAUAACAAAAACAAGGAAAGGCAGAGAUUUAUAUCUAAAAUCAAAUCUCUUGUUAAGUCCACUCUUUUCGAUCUAUAAAUACAAGUCAAAAGGAUUGAGAAGGGACUUUUAGCUAUUUUUUCACUCAAAAAAGAGAAAACUAGAUCCGGAUUUACUAGAAUUCACUGAACACAAAAUUGACAAGAGCAUUGGAAUGCCUUUGCAGGCACACACUCAAGUUACGAUGAUCUGCAGAGAAAAUGUUGAAGACGAGAAGGAAUCUCAUGCAUUCAAAAGAAUCAGGUUUAAUUCAAAUCGAUACUUCUUUCAUGUUAUGAUCCAGUCUAUUGAAGGAUUUUUUAUCCUUCAGUCAACAAUUUUCCUAUUGGGAAGGCAGAAGUGACAUUGAUCUAGUCACAAGUAAUAACCUGAGUUGUCCUACAAAUUCAUCUGUACUAAGAGUAUCCACGGAUGAACGUUUGUUUAUUAAAAAAAAAAAAACACAGCACAUAAUAAUACAAACAUCAGAAAAUUGUACUUGGAUAAGGAUGGAGAGAGAGAAAGAUGUAUUUCGAGAUGGCAAAGCUUUCAAGAUAGAUAAAUCGUGAGAUAAUGGAGAAUUACAUUAAAUUAAAGAAUUAAGAUAACAUAAAGAACGGUUAACAACAUAUACAAUUCAAGAAUUUUAAUAUGAGGUUAAAUAACUUCUCAUCAUUUAAUUAUUAUGGUGCGUUUGAGAUUGAGAUCGACUAAAAUAUUUGGUAAACACUAGCUGCUGUAUCUUGGAAGCUAUAUUGAUAUGAUUUUUCACUUGUAUAAUGGAAAUCUAUUAUAUAUUUAAUUAUUUUAUCAAAAUUAUUGUUUUAAAUUUACAUUUAUUAUAUAUUACUAACUUUUUUUUUAUAGUAAUCGAUUUUUCCACAGGAACUGUAGCUUAAAAGUUAUAGCACCUCAAUUCUAAUCGUACCCUUGGUACAACUCAGCAGCCAACCGGGGCUUUGCACGUGCACGCAACGGCUUAGCCAUAAGGAGGUCGUAUUUUGAUUCGGACAGGUCAAUCUUCUCCUCACCCGAUGGCGCGCUCCAUUCAAACCCUUGAAGAAGCCUUGCCAAAAGCACUACAGACAUCUCAGACCCAAGUGCCAUGCCCAUGCAACUGCGCCUUCCUCUGCUGAAUGAAAGGAAUCUUAAUUCUGUUUCCGCCAACUCUAAUUGAUGAUGAUGAUCGUCCACUGAACCAAUAUGACGUUCAGGUAUGAAUUUCAAUGAAUCUUUCCAGACGUUAGGGUUCCGGCCAAGCCCUAUUCGGCUCAGCAGAACGUGACUGCCUUUGGGAAUGAAGUAACCGGCGAUAGUGGCAUCGCGAGUUGAAACAUGAGGCAGGUUAAACGGUGCCACGGGAUGAAGGCGAAGCACUUCCCUUAAACAAGCUUUGAUAUAAUUGAGCUGCGGGACGUCAGAUUCCUGAACAAGUCUUUCUUUUCCAACAACUCUAUCGAUCUCCUCUGUUGCUUUUUGGAGAAUUUCAGGCUGGUUGAUCAUCUCCGCUAUUGCCCAUUCUGCUGCAUUCGAUGGAUUAUCCACUGUUGCAAGUGUCAGAUCCUGCAAGUACGUACAUAUGUUAAUUUAUCGAUCAGUUAAUUUGUCAUUAAAAUUCGAGACCGCGACCUGAUUAUAUAUAACAUGAGCAAUUAAUAAUAUAAAAAUUAAUGUAUUAAAUAAACAAGAUAUCCAACGUACCAUGCAUUGAGAUUUGAUCUCAUCUAUGGAUAACAAUGGAACCCCAUUUUCAUCAUUUGCUGAAAUAAGAACAUCUAGCAAGUCCUGGUCCUUGUGAGCUUCCUUUUUGUUGUCAUGAUGACGUCUCCGUUGGUGUACUCUCUCAUCUAUAAUGGAAUCGUGAUACUUGUUGGCAGUUUUCAUGGCCGCACUUACUUUCUCAUUUUCUUCCAUUGUUGACCCCAUGGCACGACUGCCACUGACAGGAAUCCACGGCUAGAGUACUCUGUCCCCAUUGUGAGCGGCCUCGUUGCAAAAAUUGAGUCGUUAUCUUUUAGAACUUCCAAGGCAAUUUCUGGGGAAGUCACUGGAAUCACAUGAACAUUUCCAAGCCGGAUGCAAGAAAUGUUGGUUUUAAGUUCUUUCAUCACACUGUGUAUCCAUUUGAAGGCCGGCUUAUUCCUCCAAAUCUCUGGAAGGUUUCCGACUAUUGGCCACGCAGCCGGGCCUGGGGGCAGAGGUGGUUGCUUCAUUCUUUUCUGGUCCGUACUCUGCUGGACAAAUUCAUUCAUUUUCAAUCAAAUUAGUUUAUAUGUUGAAUAAAAAUAUACAAUUAUUGUUCCUAAUAAAUAAGUAAGGGAAAUCGAAAAAUAAAUAUAGUAUACCUUGAACAGUUGAUUCUGAACGAAUGAAUACAUGUCCAUCACAUACUUCCGAAUAGUUUCGGAUUUCAGCUGAAAGCUUAUUAGUGUAACAACGGCAACAAGUAGUGUCACCCGAACAAUAUAUGUGGAUUCAAAAAUGGGAUUAUCUUCAAGAUAAGAAAGGAAAUCCAUAAUAUUAAUGAAGGCACUUUUUGGAUUCAAGAGUAAAGCCAAACGAUUUGUGGCUAUCAAAACAAAAAAGCAAUUAAUAUUAUUCUUGAUGGAUAUUGAUUGAAUGAAGAGGGGGUUCUCCAUUCGUCAUUAUAUAUAGAAGGGUGGUACGGGGUUGUCAAGUUCAACGAAACUCAUGAACAACGUUUUCGACAUGCAACUUGACGCAUAAUUCGUCUGUAUCCAUAUUAAGAAUUAAAAUUAGUCAUGUGGCGAUUUGUCUUCGGUCAUCACUGACCAACAGUCUAUUACAAAACUUAUUUUAAUUCCUUGAUGAAGUUCUCAUGACUUCUAGUGAAAGGAAUAUAUUCCACAGAUAGUUAAUUAAUUAGAGGGGAGAUUCAAUAUUGGCAACAAGAAAAGAAAAAUUCAAAUUAUCAUUUUAUUAAGAUUAUCAUUAUUCUGGUUCUAUUCUCACAGUUUAUUAUAUCUUGCUUUCUUUUAUCAAUUUUUUUUUUAUGUAGUCAUGCUUCAUUCCUUCAAGGUGGUUUCACAUCUUCAAUAUUGGCUGUGAUGGGCGGAUUGAUUGUUAUCUUGGUUGAUAGAAUAAUCGAUGGAUUGUGCGACGAUGGUGGGUGGACAGUGGAGGAGUGAUCUCUAAGAAAAAAGAAAGAAAAGCAUAGUUUAUGCAUUCGAUAGAUUUUACGCUGUGACUAUAUAUAUAAUGGCUAUUAUAGCCAUAAAUCUUCUUUUUCUCUUUUUUUUAAGGGAAUAAUUUGAAGAAUAGAUAAAUAUCUUUUUUUUUUUUGGUACAAUAAGUAGCCCAAACAAAGCUAAGCAAGAUAAAUAUGUUUUAGGGUUAUUUUAGGGACCUCCCCUGAAGUUUAGUGUAUUUACAGUCGGAUAGAAAGUAUCCACGUAAUUACAAGCACCUUCCCUACCGUUAGUAUCCAAUUAGUUUGACUGUUAGUAGACCGUUAAAAUUACAAAAGUACUAUUCCCCUCAAAAUAAUAAGUUUUUUUUUUCAGACUGGUUCUCCAUUUUCAUUGAAAUUUUCUCUCACUUCCUCUCACUUUUUCUUGACCUCCAAACAAAAACAUUUUUUAAUUAUUCAUCAGUAAACAAUAGGAUAACAAGAUGCAGCAAAGCAAGCAAAACUUUAAAACUACAUCAAAUACAAAAAGAUCCACACAGCCCCAUCCAUAACCUUAUUCAAAUCCCAAAUGGUCUGCAAUCAACUGAAACUAAUCUGUUUCUUUCCUCCAACUUUCCCACCACCCAAACACACACUCCUACGAAAUUUAAACCACAUCCUAGUACAGAUCAAUCUCAGUUACAAUUACACAAGUACCGGCUUGCUUCAAAGUAGCAACACAACCAUUGCCAACAUCACCAUAACCGCAAACAACAACAACAUUUCCGGCAAUCAUAACAUCAGUAGCUCUCAUCAAACCAUCGAUGGAAAACAAAACAAUAAAAUGGAUCAUCAACCACGUCAAAAAAUGAAGAUGAUUAAAAUAAUGAUCUAUCGAUCAUGUCGAACGGCAACCAUUGAUGAUGACGUGGGGAAGUAAUUGUGGUACCUACUGCCGUAUAACACAGUGGAUCGACGCCGUUGGAGCAUGCCGUAGUAUCAGAGAGCCGACGUCAGAACUAAAAUUAGGUUGACGAAUAAGCAUGCAAAUUGUCGAAACACGUACGCGCUCUUUUUGAAAACUACGCUCAUCGUUACCGAUACCGUGUCUUCGAACCUAAUCAUGUCCUCAUUUUCAAUCUUUUCUUUGAGAUCAUGUGCCACUCACUUUGUGCUAGUGUGACAAUGAAUUUGAGAUCUGAAGCAAAUCAAAGUAAAUUACCUUGCUAUUGGUGACAGAGUCAUUGACAUUGAUGGCAUGGAACAAGAGGGUUCCAUUUUCUUGCAUCUGGUACAACCAAUCUGAAACUCGGCGUUGUCAGUGGAGGCCGGGUCGGGUAGCUUCCGAGUCUUCUCGUAGAUCUCCUCAACUUUGACUCUCUCGUGGAUCAACAACAUGGCGUACCACCGUCGUCAAUGAUGAGAUCUGGGCCGCCGCCGGGACCCUAGUCUAGAGCUUUCUCCGUGCACCACCAAUACUCCUAGAGGGUCUCGCCCUUCCAAGCGAAGACGGAGGCAAAGUUACGUACAAUGGCGGCUGCCACGUGGUCUUGGGUUGAGAAGAUAUUGCAGGACCACCAGCGGACUUUGGUGUCGAGAGCGGUGAGGGUUCCGAUGAUGUUGGCUCCUUUGAAGGGCUAUGAAAGGGCCGAAUCAACAAAAUCAUCGCACUUUUGAUUUUUUUAUUUUAAAUAUAUUUUUACACAUUUACCCUUACAUACUGAUGCCAUACGUAUUUGAAUACUAACGUCAGGGGAGAUCCCUGUAAUUAAAUGCAUACUUUCUAUCUGACUGUAAAUACACUAAACCUUAGGGGAGGUCCCUUAAAAUAACCCAUAUAUUUUAUUGUGAUACUUUUUGCCAGAUUUAAAAGAUAAAAAGGAAAGCUAAAAAUUUGACCAAACAUUAUAUUGGUAUCUUAAUUAAUUUCUUGUCGAUAUCCUAGAACCACUAACGCACUUCCACAUCUUCACUCUUUCGGCGCAAAAUAUUAUUCAGCCCCCUAUACUCUAUAUUAUUUACAAUUAUUUAUAAGUAUUAUAAAACUUUCUGUCUAGUAAAAUUUUGUUGAACCCCUUGUACUCUGUUUUAUUUUAAUCAAACUCUUGGAGUACCAAUUUACCCUCUAUACUUUUAAAUUCCCAAAAUACCCUACAUUUAAUUAAAAAAUAUAAUAAUUAUUAAAUAAAUUAUAAUUAUAAUUAUAAUAAUUGUUUAUUAUAAUUAUAUUUUUUAAAUGGAUUAUUAUUAUUAAUAUUAUUAUUAUUAACAAGAAUAAAAAGUAUUAUAAUAAAUUAAUCUAUUAAUUUUUUAGUUAAAAUAUUAAUAAUAAUAAUUAACAAUAAUUACUAUUAAUAAUUAAUUUUUGAAUAAUAAUAACAAUAACAAUAAUUAAAAUACAAAAUAAUAAUUAUGAUAAAAAUUAAUGAAGGAUUUUAUACUAAUUUGUUACAAUUUAAUUUAUUCUGAUUUUUAUUCUAAGACAAAGUAAACACAUAAAUGGUAAUACAACUCAUUCUAAUUAUGAUUCCUGCCGUUCAAGUAAAUAAAUUAUUCUAAUUCCAAUUUCUCAUUUGAAUUCUAGAUAUUUCGAUUUUAGCUUAUUAUGUUUUCAGUUAAUUUUUAUUCAUGUUUAGUGAAUGCACUAUAAAAUUCAUAAUACUUAUAAAAAAACUGUAAAUAAUAUAGAGUGGUCUAAUUGAAUAUAAAUUGAUUUACAAUUUUAUAGUGCAUUCAUUAAAAAUGAAUCGAAAUUAGCUGGAAACAUAAUGAGUUAGAAUUGGAAUAACUAUAAUUAAAAUAAAGAAUUGGAAUUAAAACAAUUUAUUUACUUGAACUGCAUGAAUCGUAAUUAGAAUAAACGGAUGUACGGUACAGCAGACCUGGAGAUUAAGGAAAAACCUAGGCAAACAAAAGUCAAGACAAGAAGAGCAUUCCGAGUCAUGAGAGAGCCAAUUAUUAUUAUUGGCAUUUUAACUAAAAAUUAUUAUUAAUUAUUGUUAAUAGAUUAAGAAAUUUAAAAUUAUAGGGGGUGAAUUAGUACUCUAAUAAAGGUUUCAAUAAAAUAAAACAGAGUAUAAGAGGCUCAAAGACAUUUUACAAGACAAAAAAUUUUAUAAUUCUUAUGAAUAAAUUGUAAAUAAUAUAGAGCAUAUGGGGCUAAUUGAUAUUUUGGGGGUCAGCCGUAAGUUACGCUGAAUGUAACUUAGGCGGACCCCACUCUUAAGGGCUUUUGGUGGAUUCGAGCCAACGACAAGUCAGAUGAUGGUUGGUAGAAGGGAGUUGACUGAAAAUUGUGGGAAAAGACUUAGUGAUGCGACAUUUGGAGUGACCAAUUAAUUGUGAAUUUGAACUGGUCAUCCUUUUUUGCACCUUGUCGCCGUUGUACAACUUGUACUUGCCUGAGGUGAUUAAUUGCUUCAAGCUACAUGAAAACGAUGCGCUUUGCAACAAGAAGCCUUUUUUUUUUUUUUUUUUUUUUUUUUUUUUUUUUUAAAAAAUUUUUUUUUUUUUUUUUUUUUUUUUUUUUUUUUUUUUUUUUUUUUUUUUUUUUUUUUUUUUUUUUUUUUUUUUUUUUUUUUUUUUUUUUUUUUUUUUUUUUUUUUUUUUUUUUUUUUUUUUUUUUUUUUUUUUUUUUUUUUUUUUUUUUUUUUUUUUUUUUUUUUUUUUUUUUUUUUUUUUUUUUUUUUUUUUUUUUUUUUUUUUUUUUUUUUUUUUUUUUUUUUUUUUUUUUUUUUUUUUUUUUUUUUUUUUUUUUUUUUUUUUUUUUUUUUUUUUUAAAAAAAACUUCAAACUUAGUCUCUGAAAAUUGCAAGCUAGUCAAGGUAUAUUUAAUUAUCUGAAAAUUGCAAGUUAGUCAAGGUAUAGUUAAUUGUAUGGCAUAAAAUAAAUCGUCAUGACAAAGGUUUUAGCCACCGAAAUUGUAUUCGUCGUUUAAAAUAAUAUAUUUUUGCCUAAAGUCUAUAUUAUAGUGCUUGGUUGAGGGAAUCGACGGCCGGCCACUGCAACGGUGGUUGGCUGCAUUUGUUUUGUAUAGGGCUAAUUUUGUACUAAGUGAAAGGGUAAAAAAAUGAUAUGGGCAAGGGAUUGGUUGAAUAUGCUGAGCAAUAUCCAUUAGACACAUGGUACAGAUUUCAACUAGUCAAGAACUAAUAAUUUAGUAAGAACUAGUGGCAUUAAAUAGUAAUUAUUCGGUGAAGUUGAGACUCUUAUAACAUUUCGCUUUCUAAGUUGUCGGCUUGAAUCUUGAUGCAAUUAAAAACAAUGAAUCUCUGAACUCUUGGUUAUGGAAAAACUUCUUGCUGUUUCUCUUUCCCGAAAUAAUUAAUGAUUACAAUGUGAUUUAUACAUAAGAAAAGGAUCAACAUGUCGAAGUAAAGCAAAUAUAUACAAUAUAUUAUACUUGAAAUAAUUGUGUAGAAUUGAUAGAAGUGAAAACUUUAUUAAGAAAAAUCAAACCCGUCACUUGCGUUAAGAAAAUUGACGUGGGCAUGCAUGAGAGCUGAAUUGGUUAAUUUAGAGUAAUGAUAGUGAGAAGGAGCUCACUCCAACCCCAGCAAUCCCAUAUGAAAGAGUAAACAGAAGUUAAAAUAAUAAUAAAAUUACUCUAACUUUUGAAUUGAUGGCAAAAUUUUGCACAAUAAAAUCGCUUUGGUGGGAUUGAGGUGAGUCUCGCUAAUUGAUGGGUUGAAUAUAAUUUUUCAUUGUUUAAUGUACAGAUCAGAAAGAUCACAUUUAGUCAUGGCAUAGAUCUUGUUAACUCAAUUGUAUUCAAGCACAUAUUAUUUGACCACAAGAACACGUGGAGUUGAUUAUUCACUUAAUAUUGAGUCCUUCGUAGACAUUUAUUUCCUAGUUGUCAGCUUGAUAAAAUUGAAAGCAGUGUAAUUACCAAGAACGUAAUUUUUUUUAACUUUUUGAAGGAAUUAUAUUGACUUCUUCGAUCUAAUUUGACUGGAAACUAUGCAAGUUAUCAAGUAAUUUACUAUGAAAAAUUUAGAAUAAUUAUUUGGGAAGACUAUAAUGUAUUAAUUAUAUCAUCUAUGGGAAGGAAUUAUAUUUACUUCUUCGGUCUAAUUUGACUGGAAACUAUGCAAGUUAUCAAGUAAUUUACUAUGAAAAAUUUAGAAUAAUUAUCUGGGAAGACUAUAAUGUAUUAAUUAUAUCAUAUAUGGGAAGGCCAGUUCAGACGAGUCGUUGAAACAUGCAGCACCAAUUUUUUUUUUAAUAUGUGUUACACAAUAGGAAAAUCUCAAUAAAUUGAUCAUUUUGAGUAAACUAAGUUUGGUAGUUCCGAGUUCAGACAAAUGGGCCAAAUAAAAUUUUACUAAAUUUAUAAGAUUAUGUACUAUAGAAAAAUAUUUGUAGUUUCAUAUAAGACAACUUACUUUUGGCCUGUUUAAUUCUUAUAAGUUUGAGAUAAUGUUCAAUUUAUAAGCUGAAUUUUGAGUGUGAAUUAGACACAAGCUUCUAUGUGCUAUCGAUACCAAACUCAUCCACAAGUUGAAUCACGCUACCUUUUCAUAUGACAAGGAUUAUGUAGAAAUGCCAACUUGCACGUGACAGAGGGUGUUAAGAGAAAAAUCUCAUAUUAGUUGUAAUGAAUCGUUAGAUAUUUAUAUAAUCCUUUUCAUAUGAUAAGGAUUAUGCCAUGGACUUCUAUAUAGUAUCAUAACCAAAAUCUUGUAAGAGUGGACUCACACUAUUUUACUAGAUGAGAGGGACUAAUAAAAAUGACCACCCUGCAUGUAGUUAGGGAUGAUAGGAAAAUCAUCCAAUGUCAAUUGAGAAAAAGAACUAUAUUUUGAGUAUGAGUUAGGCUUAUGAUAUCAUAGAAAAAUUCAUCCACGUAUGGGCCAUGACAUCUCUAUUUCUCACUGCCAAGAAGCACAUACCUUAAAUUAUUUCAUAGUUUUUUUUUGUGGUUUCAAUUUCAUGCUCCAGUUUUUGCUGUACCAGUUAAUUUAUUUCGUUAUAAGCCAUAAAGGUAUUCCUAUGGUACAUUGAACAACAAUUCUUCAUAACAAUCAGUUUAUGGGGAAGUUUAUAUGUACACAAAAUCCUUGAGUGAAAUAGAGGUUACAACAAACUCAAUUGAAAAUAAAUCUAUCAUAGAAACAAAAAGGAGUUAAUGUGUUAUCCAAUUUCAAGAAUCCUUGGGGUGAACCUGUUGGUGUGCGUUCUAUAGCAACAUUAACCAAAAUAUUGAUGUGCGUGAAUAAGACCAACAGUCUAGUUAAAUGGCACAGGGUAGUAACUUUAAUCGUUCAAAACAUUAGUAGCAAAAAUAUUGCAAAAAAAAAAAAGAGUGAAAGACAGAACAAGCAAUAUAAUAUAGAAAUAAAUAAUGAAAAUAGCAAAUGCAAGUGCCAAAAUAUUUAGCUAUAUGUCUAAAAAUAUUUUACAAAAUAUAUCUAAGAACAAGUGAGAUUACUCCGGAUCCAAAUUAGAGUAAAACUAAGAUGUGAUCACAUAAAAAAUUACACAACAAGCCAUACGAAACUCCGAAAAGGUUGCUGAUCUAAUGAAAAAAAUGUAAUAAUAAGCACACAUGAUCACUAAUAACAUCAUAUGUCAGAAAACUUGAACACACCCAAAAAAAGGUUAUAAAAUCUAAUGGUUUAAAAUAUAGCAAAAACAAGAAAAGAUAGAGAUUUAUAUCUAAAAUCAAAUCUCUCGUUGAGUCCACUCUUUUCGAUCUAUAAAUGCAAGUCAAAAGGAUUAAGAAGAGACUUUUAGCUAUUUUUUCACUCAUAACAGAGAAAACCAUAUCCAAAUUUACUAGAAUUCACUAAACACAAAACUAACAAGAACAUUGGAAUGCCUUCGCAAGUACACGCUCAAGUUAUGAUAAUCUGCGGAGAAAAUGUUGAAGACGAGAAGGAAUCUCACGCAUUCAGAAGAAUCAGGUUUAAUUCAAACAGUUACUUCUUUUAUAUUAUCCGGUCUAUUGAAGGAUGUAGAACUUAAGGUGCUAUAAACAAAUCAAGCAACCUUAGAUCCUACCCAAGAUCACCAACCAAAUUUAUCAAGAUGCUUCAAGAUUGAUAACUGAAGAACUUGACUAAGAUUAAUCAAUGGAAUGUGACAAUUAACCGACUAGAAUUAAGAAAACAAAAGAUAUAGAAUGGACAAAAAACAAGAGAGAUUUAACGUGGUUCAGCUAGAUCUCUCUAGCUUACAUCCACGGGAGGGCAAAUAUGACCAGCUUUGAUUGAUUCUCAAGAUGAUUUACAGAGUAAUGCUAUGAGCCUUUACACAAGAUCGAGACUGCUUAUUUAUUCCAGCCCUUUCUCUCUCUACAACUCUCUAUCCUUUUGAAUCUGUUGCACCAGAAUCAGCUGCUUCAUAACAGCUUCAUAACAAACCCAGAACUUCCCCAGCAACUCACGUGAGUUCCUAAUGCUUUAACGACAUUUAACGAACCUUGUGAGCUGGAUACAAGCACGUGAUGUUCGCAUGCUUCACUUAAGGGUAAAUGGCAAGCUUGUAUAUAGGGGUGGGCGCGGUUUGGUUCCGUUCGGUUUUUUACUAAAUUUUUCAUAAUCGUUCGAUUACGAUUAUUUUAAAAUCAUAAUCGCGAUUAAUCAAAUUAUCGAAAUAAUCAAAUAUUCGAUUAAUUGAAAUAAUUCGAUUCGAUUCGGUUCAAUUAUUUCGAUUAUGGGCUUAUUUUGGGCUUUUUUAAAUUUAAAACCUUAAAUUAAUAAAUCUACCACAAACAUAAAAAGUUAACAAACAAAAAAUCAAAAUAUGUCUCAAAGUAUAUUCAAGAACACAUAACAUGUUCAAAUACCAAGUUCAAAUCAAAAUAAAUAAGCAAAAAGUCUUUUAAACUUUAACAAAACUACAAAAGCAAUAAACAUCAAUCAACUCCCAAAUCCCAAUUACUCCUCUCAGUUGCUUGUUCUUGUUGAGCUACUAUUGGCCUACCAAAUUCUACAUUAACAAAUUAAACAAAAAUAUUAGACCGAUUAGUUAAGAGUGAAAUAACCAAAACAAUAUAUCAAAAUAUAGUAGUAACAUAUUACCUGCUUCAAUGACUUCAUAGAAUUCAGUUUCCUCCUAAGUAGGUUGUAUUAUCUGUUCUACUAAUAGAGUUUAGCGAAGCCAAUUUUAAGUGCAAAUCAAUGACUCAACAGUUUUAUGAGUUAAAGAACUUCUAAAAGGAUCAAGAACACGCCCUCUUGUGCUAAAUGCCAAUUCCGAAGCUACAGUAAACAUUGGAAUUGCCAAAACAUCCUUGGCAAUCUGAGACAAAAUUGGAUACCUAUGCCCAUUCAACUUCCACCAAGUCAAAAUAUCAAAAUGGGCAUUACUAGUACUCUCAUUAGCAUCCGUCAAGUACUUUUCAACACCAUUUUUUGAACUAAUGUCAUCAUUUGAACUUUGCUUCAUCUUUUGAAAGAUGAAAAAAGAUCAAUUGACAUUAUACUACUACUAGCACCACCACCACCACCACCACCACCACUACUACCAUCAUGGAUAUCACCAAAACAAACACCACCACUAUUCCUCACAUCACUCCCACCAAUAUAGCUAUUAUAUAGCUUCAUCAACAACUCUUUAAUGUUAGAUUUCAAUUCUUCAACCUUCCUAAAUUCAUACAUGCUACUAAAACAAACUCCAAUUUACAUAUAGGAUCAAGCACAAUUGCUACAAAUAAUAACAUGUUAACCUAAUCAAAAGAAUCACCCCAAUAUUUAGCAAACUUUUGUUCCAUUUUUUUGGCCAUUUUCCUCAACAAAUCAUCACUAGAAGUAGCAAGUGACUUCAAAUGAAUUAGAACUUUUGCCAUUUCAUUUAAGUAAUCAUUGGAAGUGACAUCAAGAGAGCUACUAAAUUUCAAGGUCAUAUAAUAAAAAACCGAUAAAAAGUUGACUAACCUCCUUGCAUUUCCCCAAUUGUCAUCGCUCGGUGGCCCCUCCCUCUUUUUUUCACCCUCAUCCUCAACAAACCAAUUAACAUAAUGUUGAUCAUCUUCCUUCAUCCUAUCAAAUGUUUUUUCAAACACAGCCGUUUUGUGCAACAUCAAAUAUGUUGAAUUCCAUCUAGUAGGCACAUUCAACACCAUAAGCCCUCCAUAUGAGAUUUUCUCCCUACCAACACAUGUUUUAAACUUUUGCAAUCUUGCUGGAGAGGAUCUAACAGACUUUAUUGCAUUGCGAAUACUAGCUAUUGAAUGAUUCACCUCCGCCAACUCAUCUUGCACAAUCAAAUUUAUUAUGUGUGCCGAACACCUCACAUGCAUAUAUAAACCAUUCAAAACCAUUGAAUUCACACUCCAAUUUGCUAACUUCUUCUUCACAUAAAUUAUUGCAAUUUUAUUGGCACUUGCAUUGUCCACUGUAAUUGUGAACGACCUCUAAAUCCUCCAAUCAAUCAAACAUGUCUCAAUUAGCUUCCCAAUACCAUCUCCUUUAUUAUUAGCUAUAGGUGUGAAACUAAGAAUCCUUUUGUGCAACACCCACUCCGCAUCAAUAAAAUGAGCAGUAAUGACCAUGUAGUUAGACAGUUGAAUUGAUGUCCAUGUAUCUGUGGUAAUACACACCCUUUGCUUGCUUGCACCCAAAACACUUUUUAACAACCCUUUUUCAUACUGAUACAAUUCAAGAAUAUCCCUUGUAAUUGUUCUUCGCGAUGGCACAUCAAAUCUUAGGCAACAAGUUUGCAUAAACUCUAAAAACCCUUCAGCCUCCACAAAGCUAAAAGGUAAUUCAUCCUUGACAAUCAUCUUCACAAGUGCCAUUUUACAAGCCUCUUGACUAAACCCGCCACUAACUUUAACAACUCCAUCAUCUUUAUCUUUUCCCUUUUGACGGAAAAGUAUUUGUUGCUUCAGAUCCCCUUCAACCUUCACAUCUUGAUAUGACCUACAUUUAUCCAAAUGAUUCUUCAAAUUAGUGGUAUUUCCUCUAUUAGCUGCAAAGGUUUUACGGCAAUGAUGACAUUUUCCUUUGUUUCCACAAGGUAGUUUGGUAAAAUGAGCCCAAACAUUUAAUCUCAAAGGCAUUUUUCUUUUUUUUCCCAUCAUCAACCUCCACCUCUUGCACUUCCUCCUCAUCAUAAUUUUCCAUUCUACACAAACACAAAAUCAUUCAUGCAAAAUUGUGGCAAAUCAAAAAUCAGCAGCAACAAAUCAACACAACAGCAACAACAAAUAAAAAAUCUUGGGGAUUAUAAAAUAAAAAAUAUUAUGACAUUGCGGCACAACUCAAAUUUGUGAUCGUUUAUAUUAAUAUGUCUAUCCUAUUAAUAUUAAGGAGAUAUAUCUAUUCAUAAUUUAUUAAGAGAGUAGUAACUUUAGCAAUUUAUACUACAUGAUUCAUGAAUUAACUUUUAUAUACUCUACAUGAUUCAUGAAUUAACUUUAGCAAUUUGUUCAAACAGAAAAAUAGUAUUAAAGUUCUAUAAUAAAAUCACCUUUUCACCCAUUCGAACACUAUAGUUCUGAAUUCUCAUGUCACCACAAGAUAGUUUAACAUGUGAACAUGAGAAAUAGCUUUCUAUAUUUUUUUUUCUUAAAAUCUGAAAAUAUUAGAUGGGUCCAGUGACAUAUAAAGCUAUAAACAUUUAUCCCAAAAAAAAAAAUUUCAAAAUCACUUCAAUCACAUGAAUUAUGCAAGCAAACAAUAAAAUGGAUUGGAUGAAGGUUUUUGGAAAUUGGUUGAACCCUCUGUAGAAUACAAGCAUGAGUAGCUUUAUCAGACCUUUCAUAUUUCUCAACACCUUGGUCUUUUUUUUUUUUUUUUUGCCUGUUGGAAAAGUUCAACAUCUUCAUUGAAGAAAGUGCUCUUACCUUGUGCAUAAAUCAAUCAUAAUCAAUCAAUCAUAAUAACAAUAGCAGCAAUAAUAACAAUAACAAUAAACAACAGCAAGAAGAAAAUGCUUUGCACCUACACAAAUUCACUUUGUCAAGAAAGUGGAGGUGGAGUGCUAAUAAUCUAAUUGUUAGCUUUAGCAAUUAAUUAAUUAUUUCCACCAACAUUAAUAUAACUAUUGGCUCACAGAGCAGAUCAAGUGACCGCAUGUCUCUAUGCACUUGUCCUAAACUCACAUGACAGCGGCUGCAGCACGUGGCUGAGAGUUUUUGUUGACAGCGACUGCAGUACGUGGUAGCAGCGGCGAAGACUCGGCGACGAGCAGCGGCGGGGACGAGCAGCGGCGGCUGAAGGUCACGCAUUCGGUUUCGGCUGAAGAUCAUAAGUGGUGUUUAGUUUAGACUUUAGGGAUUAUUGGAUUGUUAUUCAGUUCGUUUUUUUUUAAACCGAACUGACUGGUUUUACUAUUUUCAUUAUAUUACUUAUUCGGUUUUUUAUUAAUCAGCUUUUUUUGCCCACUCCUACCUGUAUAUCGUUCUGAAGAGUGUUUAACUUGCUCAUCAAAACGCACAUAUCUCUAUCGUUUGGCUUAAGUGAUUCCAGCUUCAAAACACAAGAUCCUCUGUCGUUUUGAGUUUCUGGAUUUGCUUUCAUCAAAACAAAGGAUUUUUUUUAUCUUUCAAUCAACAGUGCCAAUUUCCUAUUGGGAAUGCAGAAGUGACAUUGAUCUGGUCAUAAAUAAUAACCUGACUUGUCCUACAAAUUCAUUUGUACUAAGAGAAAUCUCUGUUAAGUUUGUUUUGAUGAAUGUUUGUUUACUUGAAAAAAAAAGGCAGCACAGAAGAAUAGAAAUUUCAUAAAAUUGUACUUGGAUAAGGAUGGAGAGAGAGAAAUAUUUAUUUCGAGAUGGCAAAGCGUUCAAGAUAGAUAAAUCGUGAGAUAAUGAAGAAUUACAUUAAAUUAAAGAAUGAAGAUAACAUAAAGAACGGUUAACAUCAUUUAAUUAUUAGCUGGGUAUAAAUCAGCAGGCAAGCGGGGCUUUGCACGAGCAUGCAGUGGCUUAGCCAUUAGGAGGUCGCAUUUUGACUCGGAAAGGUCAACCAUCUCCUCAUCCGAUGGCGCGCUCCAAUUAAAACCUUGAAGAAGCCUUGCCAAAAGCAUUACAGACAUCUCGGACCCAAGUGCCAUGCCCAUGCAACCGCGUCUUCCUCUGCUGAAUGAAAGAAAUCUUAAUUCUGGUUCGGUCAACUCUACUUGAUGAUGAUGAUCAUCCGGUGAACCAAUAUGACGUUCCGGUAUGAAUUUCAAUGGAUCUUUCCAGACGUUAGGGUUUCGGCCAAGCCCUAUCCGGCUCAGCAGAACGUGACUGCCUUUGGGAAUGAAGUAACCGGCGACAGUGGCAUCGCGAGUUGAAACAUGAGGCAGGUUAAACGGUGCCACGGGAUGAAGGCGAAGCACUUCCCUUAAACAAGCCUUGAUAUAAUUGAGCUGCGGGACGUCAGAUUCCUGAACAAGUCUUUCUUUUCCAACAACUCUAUCGAUCUCCUCUGUUGCUUUUUGGAGAAUUUCAGGCUGGUUGAUCAUCUCCGCUAUUGCCCAUUCUGCUGCAUUCGAUGGAUUAUCCACUGUUGCAAGUGUCAGAUCCUGCAAGUACGUACAUAUGUUAAUUUAUCGAUCAGUUAAUUUGUCAUUAAAAUUCGAGACCGCGACCUGAUUAUAUAUAACAUGAGCAAUUAAUAAUAUAAAAAUUAAUGUAUUAAAUAAACAAGAUAUCCAACGUACCAUGCAUUGAGAUUUGAUCUCAUCUAUGGAUAACAAUGGAUCCCCAUUUUCAUCCUUUGCUGAAAUGAGAACAUCUAGCAAGUCCAGGUCGUUGUGAGCUUCCUUCUUGUUGUCAUGAUGUCUCCGUUGUUGUACUCUCUCGUCUAUAAUGGAAUCGUGAUACUUGUUGGCAGUUUUCAUGGCCGCACUUACAAUUUUUUCAUGGCCUUCUAGAUCGAAGACUCUCAUCCAGGGAACGUAAUCUGAAAGAGUGAAGGAAUAAAGGUGUUGGAGUGCAACGAAGAGUGAUUCAACGUGUUCUUCUUCUUCAAAUCCGGGACCUCCAUCUUCUUUUCCUUCGCCAAAGUAUCUCCUGUUGAACAUCAUCUUCCUAAUAACGUUCCCGCAAUAAUGGCGGGUCGCAAGUCUUACAUCUACAACUGUUGCGGCAGAAGCACUUUUGCGGCAUUGGUUAUAAAUGAAUCGAACAAUAUUGUCAGCUUCUUCUCUUCUCUUAGAGAUUAAGGAGUUAAGUCGGGCUGAGCUCAACACGUGAGAAGCAACCAUCUUUCUCAUUUUCUUCCAUUGUUGACCCCAUGGCACGACUGCCACUGACAGGAAUCCACGGCUAGAGUACUCUGUCCCCAUUGUGAGCGGCCUCGUUGCAAAAAUUGAGUCGUUAUCUUUUAGAACUUCCAAGGCAAUUUCUGGGGAAGUCACUGGAAUCACAUGAACAUUUCCAAACCGAAUGCAAGAAAUAUUGGUGUUAAGUUCUUUCAUCACACUGUGUAUCCAUUUGAAGGUCGGCUUAUUCCUCCACAUCUCUGGAAGGUUCCCGACUAUUGGCCAUGCAGCCGGGCCUGGGGGCAGAGGUGGUUGCUUCAUUCUUUUCUGGUCCGUACUCUGCUGGACAAAUUCAUUCAUUUUCAAUCAAAUUAGUUUAUAUGUUGAAUAAAAAUAUACAAUUAUUGUUCCUAAUAAAUAAGUAAGGGAAAUCGAAAAAUAAAUAUAGUAUACCUUGAACAGUUGAUUCUGAACGAAUGAAUACAUGUCCAUCACAUACUUCCGAAUAGUUUCGGAUUUCAGCUGAAAGCUUAUUAGUGUAACAACGGCAACAAGUAGUGUCACCCGAACAAUAUAUGUGGAUUCAAAAAUGGGAUUAUCUUCAAGAUAAGAAAGGAAAUCCAUAAUAUUAAUGAAGGCAAUUUUUAUAACGUUCCCGCAAUAAUGGCGGGUUGCAAGUCUUACAUCUACAACUGUUGCGGCAGAAGCACUUUUGCGGCAUUGGUUAUAAAUGAAUCGAACAAGAUUGUCAGCUUCUUCUCUUCUCUUAGAGAUUAAGGAGUUAAGCCGGGCUGAGCUCAACACGUGAGAAGCAACCAUCUUUCUCAUUUUCUUCCAUUGUUGACCCCAUGGCACGACUGCCACAGACAGGAAUCCUCGGCUAGAGUACUCUGUCCCCAUUGUGAGCGGCCUCGUUGCAAAAAUUGAGUCGUUAUCUUUUAGAACUUCCAAGGCAAUUUCUGGGGAAGUCACUGGAAUCACAUGAACAUUUCCAAGCCGGAUGCAAGAAAUGUUGGUUUUAAGUUCUUUCAUCACACUGUGUAUCCAUUUGAAGGCCGGCUUAUUCCUCCAAAUCUCUGGAAGGUUUCCGACUAUUGGCCACGCAGCCGGGCCUGGAGGCAGUGUUAGCUGCUGCUUCAUUGUUUUCUGCUCGCUGCUUCUUCUAUUCUGCUUGAUUAAUUCAUUCAUUUUCAAAACAUUUAAUUAAUAUGAUCUAUUUUAGAUAAGAAUGCACAACUACUGUUACUAAUAAGUAAGUAAAUCAUGGAAACCGAAAUACACACACAUACCUUGGACAGUUGAUUACGCGCAAAUGAAUACAUGUCCUUCGCAUAUCUACGAAUACUUUCAGAUUUCAGCUGAAAGCUCGUUAGUGCAACAAGGGCAACGAUUAACGUCACGAAAACAGUAUAUGUGGAUUCAAAAAUGGGAUUACUUUGAGGAUUGGAAAGGAACUCCAUAAUGGUUGUAUUUAAAUUCGGGCUCAAAAACAAGCAAGCAAAGUGUUAGUAGCGGUGGCUGUCAAAGCAAAAUGUAAUUUUAUAUAUUGUUGAUGACGGACUGAAUGAAGAGGACGCUCUCGUUAUGUUAUUUAUAGGGAAUGGGAGGUACGGUUCAAGUUCUGGGAAGGUCGCCAAUAACCAGCACAUGCGUGCUGACGCGUGAUUUGUCUGUUUUUGAUAGGAAGUGGAAUAUUCAAAGAAUAAUAAAGUGCUGAUUUUUCUUCGGUCAGCAGUCAGCAACAGCAGUCAUUCGGGGGAAAAUUGUCUGUGUGCUUCCUUUGACGAUGGAAUCGACCGCUUAGUGGCAACUGCGGUGGUUGGAGGAUUAACGACGGCAUAAAUUUUAUAUUGUAAAUAAUUCAUAAAAUAAGUAAAAGGGUAAUAUAAUUACUAAUUAAAUGAAAGUGAACAUGUACUUGAUUAAGAAAAAGAAAUCCCUGACCUACAUUCAGAAAAUUGACUAGCUACGGGCCUACGGCAUGCAUGGGAGUUUGGUUACUUACGGUUCAGACUUCAGAGUAAAAUUACUGAUAGUCAAGUAUUCAAGCAAAUGCUAUUUGACCAUCAAAUAAAAAAAAAUAUCUAUUAUUGACCAUAAGAACUAGUGGAGUUUAUUCGCGAUGAAUAAGUUUAGGCAUGAUCGAUUUUUUGGAAAUACAGGUAAGAACAUAUAGUCUUCGUCAACGGAAAUAUAAGUGCUAAGGAGUUGCCGAAACACACCGCAUCAUUUCUUUUCUCAAUUUUUAAUAGCGUUUUGCCAUGAUCAACACCGAAUGUCAUCAAUGAAAGAGUAAUAUCAUAUUCACAAGCCACUUCGGCUUUAGCAGUGGUGAACCGCUACCUCAAAGUUAAGAAGGAUUAAAAAUAAUAGUUUGAGCCUCUAUAGACUCAAUCUCCCUCAAUUAAAUAAAAAUUGUGUAGAGUUAAUUUGUAAGUCUUUCUCCCUUAUGAAAUACGAGUGAAGUAGAGACAUCUCUCGUAUGUGAGGGUCAUAUGUCUGAGCAUGUACUUCAUAAAAUUAAUGUAAUAAUAUAAGUCCCAAGUUGUACUUCAUAGAAUUAAUGUAAUAAUAUAAGUCCCAAGUUAUAUAUCUGAUGGUAAAUAUCAGUAUAAUGUCUGCUCUAAUAGAGUUGUAAAUAUUUGUGUAAUACAGUAAUCUGAUGUGUAAUCAAUAUUUAAAAUAUAUAUAUAUAUCAUAUUCACAGUAUAGUAAUGACAGUAUCUCAAAUCAUAUCACGUUUACUUUGACGAAAUAUUCACCACGAAAUAUUAGAAUAUUUACAGUAUAGGAAAAAAAAUCUCGACUUCUAACAUUUGUCUUAGUGAUCAUAUAGACCUUAUUAAUUUCAAAAAUGAUCAUAAAAUCUCUUUUCCUACGAUCAUAUCUUUCUACUGUAGUCAAACUUUUAUAAUACCAUAAUUAAUCGUAAUCUUUGUAAACAAAAUAUAAGACUUGCAAACUUAACAUAAAUCUUAUAUAUCAACAUUAAGGAGCCGUUAGUUUUUUUUACUUAAUAAUUUGAUUGACUUAAUUUCAAUCAAUUAAAUCUGUUUCUUUUUCAACUUAAUAGAAUUUUUUAGUCAUUAAGUCAUCAAGCCAAUUUUUUUAGCUUUUUAUUUAAUUUAAAAAGUCUAGAUGAUAUUACAAAAAAAUAUUCUCCAAAUUAAAGUAUCCUUAAAUCAUUAAUUUAUUCUCAUCUUUACCUAAAUAAAAUUUAAGAAUUGAUAUUACUUUGCACCUUUAUUUUCAUCAUUUUUUAUUUUAUACCUGGAAGUUUUUAUUUUUUUUCAAUACCUCUUAUAUUAUUUUACUUUCCAUUUACAAGUUUUAGGUGUAAUCUACAAAAUUUAUUUUUAUUUUACAAUUAAUUGAUAAAUUGGUAUAUUAUUGGUAAACAAAACAAAAAAUUACAAAUGUAAUGUAAAACUUAAAAAUCAACAUUAAGUGUAAAAAUAAAAUAUAAGACUUAUAAAUAGAAGACAAAAUAAGUAAAUUAACAAUAGAAUGAUAACUUAGUGUGACAAUGGAGUGAUAUAUUAGUAUAUCAUUGGUAACUAAAACUCAAACUUACAAAUGCAACACAAAACUUGUAAAUCAACAUUAAUUGUAAAAUAAAAAUAAAUUUUGUAGAUUACACCUAAAAUUUGUACAUAGAAAGUAAAAUAAGUAAAAUAAUAUAAAAGAUAUUGAAAAAAAACUAAAAACUUACAAGUAUAAAGUAAAAACUGAUUAUAAUAUUGAUUAUGUUUUAUGUUUACUAAUUUUGAAAAUUUAUUCUUUUCAAGUUUUUCAAAGGUAGUGGAAGAUAAGGUGAUUUUGCAUCUUUUAAAGGCCUUAUUUGGUAUUGAAGUUAGACAAUUAUUGUUUUUUCAGCUAUACCUUAAAAUGUACAACACUACAAUGUUUGGUAAACACUAGCUACUAUAAUAUAGAAGUUAAAUUAAUUUGAUCCACUGCUUAGAUGAUGAAAAGCCUUUAAUAACUUUAUUAUUUUGUCAAAUAUAUUAUUUAAAAGUCAUAUUUUUACACACUAACAACUUUUAUUUUAUAGUUAUAACAUUUUCUCCACAAUAAAAAUUACCACCAAGUAUGUUUCUGAAUUUGAUAAAAUCUUCUACGUUGAGUGGUUUGGUGAACACAUCAGCUGCUAGAUCUUUUGUCAUCGCGUAAUCAAGUUGUACAUUCUUUCUUGUGAUGCACUCUUUUAUAUAAUGAUAGUGAGCGUUGAUAUAUUUGCUUCGAUCAUGGAAAACUGAAUUCUUGGAUAGAGCAAUUGCUGACUUAUUAUCCACACAAAUCUUGUUUGGCUCUACUUGUGGCAAACCCAACUCCUUUAGCAAAUUUCUAAGCCAAAUCGCAUGGCAAACACUUGAUGUAGCAGCUACUUACUCAAAUUCACAAGUGGAAAGUGUGACAAUUGGUUGCUUCUUUAACAUCCAUGUGAAAACAUUAUCUUCUAUAAAGAACACAAAUCUGGUGGUUCUCUUUCAAUAAUCUACAUCUCCACCCCAAUCGUUGUCGCUAUAUCCAACAAGCUUAUAGUCAUUAAAAAAUGAGUACAAUAAGCCGAAAUCAAUUGUACCUUUGAUACAGCGAAGGAAUUUUUUUUUUUUUUGCAGCCUUAAAAUGAGUGAUCUUUGGGUUCUCCAUGUAUCGACUCACAAGUCCAACAACAUAAAGGAUGACAGGUCUCGUACAUGUCAAAUAACACAGACUUCUAGCAACGCUUUUGAAAAAAAUUGAAUCUACUUCUUCUCAUUUGUCAUACUUGGAUAGCUUAACUCUACACUCCAUUGGUGUGCUUAUUGGAUUGCAAUCAUUCAUCUUGAACUUCUUAAGUAUCUCUUUUGCAUAACUUUCUUCAUAAAUGAAAAUGUCAUCCUUUUGUUGCUUGACUUCAAUGCCGAGGUAAUAUGCCAUCAAUCCGAUGUGAAUUAUCUCGAACUCUUUAAUCAUCACUCUCUUGAACUUUUAAAUAAGCUUGGAUUACUUCGAGUGAAGAUGAGAUCAUCCACAUACAAACACAUAAUUAAAAUAUCUUCAUCAUUUUCUUUGACAUAAAAAGUAUGUUCAUAUGGGCAUUUAGUGAAGCUGUUUUCUUGAAAAUACUUGUCAAUUUUGCUCUUUCAUACCCUUGGUGCUUGCUUUAACCCAUAAAGAGCUUUUUUUAAUCUCAUAACUUUGUCUUUAUCAGAGCCAAAAUCUCAUUCUCUUUCUUCAUAAAAAAUUACAUCUCGACUGAUCAAGAUCUUCUUGUUGUUUGGAUUGUAUAGCUUGUAUCCUUUAGAAUUGUUGUCAUAACCAAUGAAGAUAAACUUUUUACUUUUUCCAUCCAACUUGGCUAUUCUCUCGACUGGUACAUGUACAUGGGCAAUGCUCUUAAAAACUCUCAGUUGAGCGAUGCCGGGCUUUCUUCUACUCCAUGCUUUUUGUGGUGCCUUACCCCACACACUUCUUGUUGGUGAUCAAUUGGAUAAGUAGAUUGUACAUGCAACAACUUCAGCCCAAAAUUCUUUAGGUAGCCUCUUACUCUUGAGCAUGCUUCUUGCCAUGUCGAGAAUGAUUUUGUUCUUUUUUUCUACAACACCAUUUUGUUAGGGGGAUCUUGGAACUGUCAAAAGGUGUCAAAUUCCAUUUACUUCACAAAAUUCUAUGAAUUGAUUAGAAGUGAACUCUCCACCUCGAUCAAAUCUCAUGGCUUUAAUCUGGUAUCCACUUUCAUUUUCCACUGCAGCUUUAAACUUAUUAAAAGCUUCAAAGACUUCUGACUCCUGCUUCAAAAAAUACACCCAAGUUUUUCUUAAAAAAUCAUCAAUGAAAAAAAAAAGUAGUUACUUUUACAAGGGAGCUUGGCUUGAAUGAACCGCACACAUCAGUAUGAAUAAGCUCGAAUGGCUUCCGAGCACUUCAGUUUGACUCCUUUAGAAAGUUUUUUCUAAACUACUUGCUAAGUAAACAUCCUUCACAAAGUUGAUUAGGAUGAUUGAUUGAAGGUAAGUCUUUCACCAUGUUUUUUUUUUAUAGUAGCUAGCUCUAGUCCACUAAAGCUGAGAUAUCCAAAUUGAAGAUGCCAAAUCCAUAUUGGAUUUUUGUGAAAAGCCUUGAGACACUUUGCAACAUCAUUUUGAAUAUUUAAAAGAAAUAUUAUAUCCUUCGACAUUUUCACCUUUGCUAUUAGAUUUCUUUUGUCAUCUUUUAGAAAAAAACUAUAAUCUUUUAAGUGAAUAUGAUAGUCUUUUUUUCCAAGAGUCGACCUAAACUGAGGAUGCUGCUUUUCAUACUAGGCACAUAAUAAAUAUUUGAAAUUAAUUGGUGGCUACCAUUUUUUGCACGAAAAAGAAUAUUACUUUUACCCUUCACUAGUACUUUUAAAUCAUCUUUAAAAGCAACAUUGAUAUUCACAUAUUCAUUUAGUUCCACAAACAUGCUUCUAUUUCGCUAAUGUGAUUACUAGCACCUAUGUCAAGAUACCAUGUAUUUUCUUGACCUCCGCUGGUGUCAUUACUUGCUAGUAAAAGUGUACCAUCUUCACAAUUCUUCUCUUCAAUAUAAUUUACUCUCUCAUCAAUUCUGGUACUUAGAGCUCUGCAUUUUAAAGCAUAAUGCCCAAACUUUUGAGAAUUAUAGCAUUGUACUUGGGAUUUGUCAUACAUCGAUCUUGGAUUACCUCUGCUUCGUCCUCUGGUUGAGUUUUCUCCUUUUGCAUAUUUGGAGUUGUUGUUGUUGAAAUUCCAACCUCGUCUAUGACCACGACCUCUUCCUCAAAUAUAUUGCAUUCUCCCGUUGUUGGAGUUUUCUUCUAUUUUCUUUGGAUUAACUUCCAUAUUGAGAAGUUGUUCUUCAAUUCAUUUCUUAUUUUUCAAUUUUUCUUCAUAGGCUUGCAACAUUCCUUGAAGCUGCUCAAUCGUCAUUGCCUCCAAAUAUUUUGUUUCCUCAAUUGUCACAACAAUAUGGUCAAACUUCGAAUCUACUGAUUGAAGUAUCUUUUCAAUGAUCCUUACCUCUUUUAACUCCUCACCAUUUCUUUUUAGUUUAUUGGAAAUGGUCACAACCCGAGUAAAAUAGUCAGAAAUCGACUCGGAUGCCUUCAUGUGUAAGGACUCAAAUUCUCUUCAUAAUGUUUGGAGACGAACCUUCGUUACUUGCUCUGCUCCUUUGUAAGAGGUCUCUAACUUCUCACAUCCUUCAUUUGAAAAAGGUGCACCAACAAUCUUUUCAAAAGUAUCUUCAUCUAAUGAUUGAAAUAUGAGAUACUUUGUUUUAUUCUCUUUCUUCUUUAAUUCUUUUAAAUUCUCCUUUAGCACUGCAAUUAAAGUAACUUCAUUUUUUGGCACAGUAAAACCUUUCUCCACAACUUCACAUAUGUCAUCUGCACCCAAUCGAGCCUCCAUUUUGAUACUCUAGUUGUCGAACUUACUUCCCUUUAAUUGUGGAACUUGAAAUGACAUCAUACCAUCAUUUGCCAUAACUCACAAAUUGAGUGAGAAUUUGGAGAUUAUAAAUGCACGGAUGGAUCCGGAACGUCAAAAAGCUAUGGGAGGAACUCGGAUCAACUUUCGGUCAAUGGUCAACUUGGUCAACAUCGGUCAACAGUCAACAGUCAACUGUGGUUAACAGUAAACUCUGGUCAACUCAGGUCUGGGUCGGUUCGGUUCGGUUUGGUUCAAUUUGGUUCAACUCAGUGAGUUGACUCAACUUUAGGACAGAAAACUUCCGGCAGCGAGUGUGGGUGUGUUUGGACUCCGAUUAAGCUGAUUUUUACGGCGUCGCGUUACUCUCGUUGAGAUCUUCGAUUUGAUAUGCUAUGUGGCUAUAUAUAGCAUCAAACACUAGCUCUAAUACCACUUUGUUGGAGAAUUUGAAGAAUAAAACACAAAUUUUAUUAGAGAAAGCUCGAAAACAUUACAAGAACAAUUCACACACUCUUCACAAAUUACUCUUAGAAGCUAUUUUGCUUCUUAUACUUAAUGUAUACAACACAAAUGGCAUAGGCAUUUAUAGUGAAUGAAAUACAAACAUAAUCAUAACAACACACAUCACCUAACAUGUUCCAUCAAGCUUUCAUCAUGGCACCACUUUACCUAACAUGCUCUAAAGGAAUCCUUUAAUGGCAUCCAAAGUGUAAAGCUAAUCUCCACUUAAUUAGAUGCUUCAUGAACAUAACAUGGUAGGACCAUGAUAAUGGAGUAUAGUGAUUAAAGGGUAUGUAGACCUCAAUACCUCAUUCCACUUAAAUGAAUUAUUUAUGUAAAACAAGUUUAUUGUUUUCAACAGUAAUAUAUGAAUAUCUUUUUAUUUUGUUUUGGCUAGAUCUACUUCAGGAAAAAGAAUUUUGUUUAACUUGUAUUAGUUAACAAGUAACACAAUAGAAAUGAAAAAAAAAAUAUAAAUAGCCUAUAAUAAAUUAGUAAUGAUACAGCCACAAACUCUUGUACAAACUUAUUUUGUACAAACUGAUGUGGCAUGAUAAGAUUGGUUGAAUUAAUAUCACUUGGCCCACAUGAUUUGUUUUUAUUAAUUUAUAUUUUCAUUCAACCAAUGAAUUAAUGCCACAUCAGUUUGUACAAAAUAAGUUUGUACAAGAGUUUGUGGCUGUAUCAUUACUCAUAAUAAAUAUAGAAUUUAUGGUUAAAUCAAUUCAAUGAAACUUAUGCCAAUUGUUUUCAGUAUAAUUUGUUUAUUUGCAAUUAUGAGUUAUUAUUUUUCUUUAUUUAAUUAAAUUAAAUGAAUAAACUAUUUUUUGUUUAAUUAAAGUUUAAUGUUUAUUUAUAAUUUUUAUGUGAUUUUUACAAAGUGUUUGUUUUCUUUACAAGUUUAAAACACCAAUUUCCGCUCCUACAUUAAUUAAUUUAUUUUAUUUUCUAUUUACUAGUCUUAUAUGUAAUUUAUCAAAUUUAUGUUUAUUACUACACCGUAAUUUUAAUCACUACAUUAUAAAAUAUUUUUACAUGUAAAUAUAAUAUUAAAUAACAUGUAAUAAUGAAAUAUUAGACUUGACAGAAAGUUAAGCGGAGAAAGAACGUUGGGAAUCAGGCGUCAAAGCAAAUUAUUUUGAAUAACUAUUUUAAAUCUAUCUGAUAGAUUUUGUUAAUAUUAAAUUCUCGUAACCCAAAAAAACCGACUUUAAAAUUUUAUGGUAAAUUGAACAUCUCUAGUUUUGUCUCGUUUUGCUGGCAUGUGGUGUGAGCUUCUCUAAGUGGCACAUGUAUGGAUGACAUCAUAUUGUGAAAAGUAUAUAUAAUGUUAUUUUAUGCACUAAAAUAUUUAUAUGGAAUAUGUCUAUUUAUUUAAUAUAAAGACAAUUAGCAAAUAGGCUUCGGCAUAUCUUUAUGCAUAUCGAAUUAAUUAAGGUAGUGUUUACUUGCUGGAGUGGGAGUGUGGAGUGUGGAUUUCUCCCACUUCAGUGUUUACUUACUUUAAAAAAGGGGAGAGUGGGAGUGGGAAUCCGUAGGUCCCACUUAAUUUUGGAGUGGGGAGUGGAAUUCCCACUCCCAUGGGGGGAGGUGGGAGUGGGAAUCCACUCCCCCCUCUUCCCAUUUUAUCCUUAUAAUUAAAAUAAAAAUAAAUAAAUAAUAUUUAAUAAAAUAAAUAAUAUCAUAUUUAUUAAAAAUAAUAAUUAUAUCAUAUUUAUUUUAUUAAAUUUAAUAAAAUAAAAAUAAAUAAAUAUAAAAAAUUAUGAUUUACAUAAUUAAGAAUAUUAGUAAUUAUUAUUAAUUUAUAAAUAUAAUAAAAUAUUUAUUUUAUUUUCUAAAUAUAUUUUUUAUUAAUUUUUUAAUUACAAAUUAUAAUUCUAUACAUAAGAAUAAAAUUGUAAUUUAAAACAAUUUACUCUCAAUUUAAGACAAAAUAAACAAAUAAUUUGGAUUCUGAUUGACAAUUCAUAUUUUCAUUUAGUCUAAGUAAACACCAUACUCUCACUCUCACUCCACACUUCUAAUCCAAGAAUUUCCACUCCUCAGUAUUCCCACUCCUCAGUAUUCCCACUCCAAUUCAAAAAAUAAACGCAGCAUAAAAGCAGUAAAUGUGGUCAAUUUCUUAAUUAUGGGAAAGCACCCAGGAGUGGACUUUGAUUGUUAACAGGCCUAUCACUUAAAAAUAUUAAUUUAUCCUAAUUACAUCGAGAAACGGAAACUUACGUGAAAAAAAAAAAAUUGAACAUUUAAGCUGAUACAUUGUAUCUAGUAGAGAUCAAUUCAUUAUUCAAAGUUAAUCAACUGGCAAUUUUGUCUUGGUCACCAUUGAGCCAAAGUUGAAUUCAGAUAAUUAUAUUAAUUCCAUCAUAUAGAAGUUUUAAAUGAUGUUAACAUAUUCCAUGACGUUAAUAUUAACAAAGGGAGAUUCAAUGUUCACAAUUUGCAUAUCCCCCCAUUUUUCACGUUUCUAGCAAAUUGCUCAGGUAUUCAUGUCACUUACGCUUUUUACUAGCAGUUUGACACUUAGCAGUCGCUAAUUGAGAAAAAUAUCAACGAGGGCAAGGCUCAAUCUUGAUUUUGAAAUUAAGAACAAUAGCAGACAUAUAUGCAUUGAAUCUAAUUUUCGAAGGAAAUAUUUCACCCAACAAUUUCAUUUAUAAGAAUAAACCACCCUGUAAAUGGUGUGCAUAAUAAUUCUAUUUUAUGUUGUCGUUAAGCCAGAUUCUGUUGAGCGAUUAAGCCAGCAAGCUGCAACAGGUUACAGGACCCUCUCAGGAAUACUUAAGAGCUCAAGAAAAUGGCAGUCAAGUUGGACCUAGCAGACAGCCCUAGAUCUUCCCUUCCCGUUUUGUCAUAUCAUUGACCUUGGGGAAUUAUUGGGUCAACCGUAUACCAUAUCGUCGUUUAUUAUUAGCUCCAGUUUAUACGACAACUACUUCCUCUUCAGUCGCUAUCCUUGUCUAAGGCUUUUGUUAAGUUAGUUACUGAAAAUGCAAAUUAGCAUGAGCACUUUAGAAUACGGUUAACCAACAUGUUAACUAAUCGAUUACGAUAAAUUGGAUCGGAUUUUGCUGUUUUGUCUCCUCGAAGAAGUUGAGAUUCGAAAUUCUACUCUCAUUAAUGUAUGUAUGGGGUGAAAUGCACCCUUACUUUAAGGGAUAAGCCUUUUGGAAUUUUAACUCAUGUCCUCAAUAUAGGUACGAGUACUAUUAGGAUACAAGCCCAAAAGGUAUCAGGAACCCUUGAUUAAUUUUAUAACCUAUUUAUCAUUUUGAGUAAUUUUAUUUAAGGACAAAAUGAUAAUUAAUGUAAAAGUGAUUAUCGGUGCUUGAUGAGAUUAAUUAACAGGGUUUAAUAUUACGAUUAAAGAAAAUAAAAAAAUAGAAAACCCAACAUCGACAAAAUGAUUAAUUUCUAUUGAUUUGAGAAAAAAGUCUUAGUUGUUCUUAUAAUACUGCUCAUUUUCCAUUCAUUCCUUACCUCUUGUAUACGUUAACAGCCAUGAUAAUAUGCAUACACAUGUGGCAAGAGUGAAUACUUGAGAAGCAAUGUUCCAGAAGCAGCAAAGAAGUAUUUCAAUACAGAUACAAGGAUGAUAAUACCUAUUUAUCCUUUUGAGUAAUUUUAUUUAAGGACAAAAUGAUAAUUAAAGUGAUUAUUGGUGCUUGCUGAGAUUAAUUGACCGGAUUUAAUAUCACGGUUAAAAAAUAAAAAAUAAAAAACCAAACAUCAACACAAUGAUUAAUUUCUAUUGAUUUGAGAGAAAAGUCUUAAGUGCUCUUGAAAUAUUGCUCCUUUUCCAUUCAUUCCUUGCCUCUUGUAUGCUUUAACAAUCAUGUUAAUAUGCACACACAUGAGGCAAAUAAUGAAUAGUUAAGGAGCAAUACUCCACAAGUACUAAAAACUUUUUAUUUAAGAAUUCUCAAAAAUCUGCCAUGAUAUCAUAUACUAAAAAGUUAGUAUGAUAAAAAUAUUUAAAAUUUAGUCAGUCAAUUUUAAUGUUAAUUGAUAAUCUAUUUUUGCGCCCCCCAGUUUUGUAAAGUAAUAUGAUUAAAUUAUGAAACAUUGUUUGAAUUAAUGCAUCUCAACCCAACCUAUUGCCUCAUGGAUUUAUUUUGCAAACUCAUUGCAUUAUAAAUCUUUUUUAAUAUAAUAAAAUGCAACUAAUUAAAAUUUUUGCAAAAUAUGGGUAAAUGCGAUUUUCUCUAUACCGACAUUAGUUUUUUCAAAAGUAAAUAAGGGGUAGUUUCAUUGAUAAGUCUUUUCCAGUGAAUUGAAAUUCGGUAAACAUGGAGAGCCUCCACUUUAUUCAAUCACAUCAAGAAUUGCUUUCAGCUAAUUUUGAUUUAACCAUGGUUUUACAGAUGUAGCUGCUAUUUUUGAAAUAAUUAAAAAAAUUGGGAGGAAAUCAUGGAAUAUAUUCCCCUCAUUUAGAAUUUCAAUAUGAAAGCAAUAAAAUACUUUUUUGGCAAACUGACAAAAUUGAAUGUUGACCAAUAGAAAUUGCUAUAGGCUUAAGAUCCUGUUUAGUACGGACAAUUAUAAUUUUUAAGUACAAUAUUAAAAUAUUUGGUAUAACUAAUAGUUUGAAAGUUAUGUUAAUUUAAUUUCAUAUUUAUACAAUGAAAAAUUUAUAAUAUUUUUCAUAAUUUACUCAAAAUUAUUAUUUAAAAUUUAAAUUUAUUAUACACUAUUAAUUUUUAUUUUAUAUUAUAAUUUUUGUUAUAAAAGUUGUGGCUUAAAUGUUACUAUACAAAGAAGGCCUAAUUUUAAAUAAUUUAUUAAUUUCGUAGUCGUUAUAAUAUUUCAGCUUGUGUGAAAGCGUCAGUAAGUGACCAAGUCCACACUGACUGCCACGUUUUUAAAACUAAAAAAAUAAAAUAAAAAAGUCUGAGCAGAGAACUGAGUAACCAUUAUUUAAAAUUAAUGGAAGCAACCUGUGAAAUUUCAUUACAAUCAUCCCGAUCUCUGCACAAUGUUAUAUAUAGAGAGAGCCUCCUCUCCGUUCAAUCGAUAUCGAUCAAGAAUAUUAAUUGCUUUUCUGCUUUACUCUUGAAUCAAAAAAUUGCCUUCAUUAAUAUUAUGGAUUUCCUUUCUUAUCUUGAAGAUAAUCCCAUUUUUGAAUCCACAUAUAUUGUUCGGGUGACACUACUUGUUGCCGUUGUUACACUAAUAAGCUUUCAGCUGAAAUCCGAAACUAUUCGGAAGUAUGUGAUGGACAUGUAUUCAUUCGUUCAGAAUCAACUGUUCAAGGUAUACUAUAUUUAUUUUUCGAUUUCCCUUACUUAUUUAUUAGGAACAAUAAUUGUAUAUUUUUAUUCAACAUAUAAACUAAUUUGAUUGAAAAUGAAUGAAUUUGUCCAGCAGAGUACGGACCAGAAAAGAAUGAAGCAACCACCUCUGCCCCCAGGCCCGGCUGCGUGGCCAAUAGUCGGAAACCUUCCAGAGAUUUGGAGGAAUAAGCCGGCCUUCAAAUGGAUACACAGUGUGAUGAAAGAACUUAAAACCAACAUUUCUUGCAUCCGGCUUGGAAAUGUUCAUGUGAUUCCAGUGACUUCCCCAGAAAUUGCCUUGGAAGUUCUAAAAGAUAACGACUCAAUUUUUGCAACGAGGCCGCUCACAAUGGGGACAGAGUACUCUAGCCGUGGAUUCCUGUCAGUGGCAGUCGUGCCAUGGGGUCAACAAUGGAAGAAAAUGAGAAAGAUGGUUGCUUCUCACGUGUUGAGCUCAGCCCGACUUAACUCCUUAAUCUCUAAGAGAAGAGAAGAAGCUGACAAUCUUGUUCGAUUCAUUUAUAACCAAUGCCGCAAAAGUGCUUCUGCCGCAACAGUUGUAGAUGUAAGACUUGCAACCCGCCAUUAUUGCGGGAACGUUAUUAGGAAGAUGAUGUUCAACAGGAGAUACUUUGGCGAAGGAAAAGAAGAUGGAGGGCCAGGAUUUGUAAGUGCGGCCAUGAAAACUGCCAACAAGUAUCACGAUUCCAUUAUAGAUGAGAGAGUACACCAACGGAGACGUCAUCAUGACAACAAAAAGGAAGCUCACAAGGACCAGGACUUGCUAGAUGUUCUUAUUUCAGCAAAGGAUGAAAAUGGGGUUCCAUUGUUAUCCAUAGAUGAGAUCAAAUCUCAAUGCAUGGUACGUUGGAUAUCUUGUUUAUUUAAUACAUUAAUUUUUAUAUUAUUAAUUGCUCAUGUUAUAUAUAAUCAGGUCGCGGUCUCGAAUUUUAAUGACAAAUUAACUGAUCGAUAAAUUAACAUAUGUACGUACUUGCAGGAUCUGACACUUGCAACAGUGGAUAAUCCAUCGAAUGCAGCAGAAUGGGCAAUAGCGGAGAUGAUCAACCAGCCUGAAAUUCUCCAAAAAGCAACAGAGGAGAUCGAUAGAGUUGUUGGAAAAGAAAGACUUGUUCAGGAAUCUGACGUCCCGCAGCUCAAUUAUAUCAAGGCUUGUUUAAGGGAAGUGCUUCGCCUUCAUCCCGUGGCACCGUUUAACCUGCCUCAUGUUUCAACUCGCGAUGCCACUGUCGCCGGUUACUUCAUUCCCAAAGGCAGUCACGUUCUGCUGAGCCGGAUAGGGCUUGGCCGAAACCCUAACGUCUGGAAAGAUCCAUUGAAAUUCAUACCGGAACGUCAUAUUGGUUCACCGGAUGAUCAUCAUCAUCAAGUAGAGUUGACCGAACCAGAAUUAAGAUUUCUUUCAUUCAGCAGAGGAAGACGCGGUUGCAUGGGCAUGGCACUUGGGUCCGAGAUGUCUGUAAUGCUUUUGGCAAGGCUUCUUCAAGGUUUUAAUUGGAGCGCACCAUCGGAUGAGGAGAUGGUUGACCUUUCCGAGUCAAAAUGCGACCUCCUAAUGGCUAAGCCACUGCAUGCUCGUGCAAAGCCCCGUUUGCCUGCUGAGUUGUACCCGGCUAAUUAAUUGAGAAUUACAGUAUUAUCCGUUAACGAAAAAUAAAUUACGUACGAGACUUAUCUUAACAUUUUGCUACGUUCGGGCCCAACAUCUGUAUGUUGUCAAAAUCCGGACCUGAGAAUUUGUAAAUUUAUUUGUUAUUUAAUUAUUUUAAUUUCUUCAAUAUAUCAGUACUAUUUGUCUCUAACUAGUAGCACGUUCCUCUCUCGAUACAAGUCUCCCUCUCGCCCAUAUGCCAUUUUCUCUUGUUUUCUCUUCUUUUUCUCAAUGACAUCUUCUCUUUCUCUUUUAUUUUAUUAUAUUUUGGGACAAAGGAAACAUUCAUUGAAACAAACUGAAGAAUUGUAACAUUCGAAUAGUUUUCAUUGGAGCAUUCUCGAGCAAUCCAGAGGGAAACGUCGAAAAUAAGGGGGGUAAAUUAGGGUUGAGAUCAGAUUGAUGGGGUUUCAAGGUCGAAGAUUACUCGAAAAAUAGUAAUCUGAACUCGACCAGAACUUAUAAUGCGAUCUGAUCUAAUCUGAGUUAUGUUCAAAUUGGACCGGAUAAAAAAUUUAUAUUUGUGUGUAUUGUGACUUGGAUCAGAUUAGAUUUGACCCGAUCAGAUUGAUUGGCCAAAAUCCAACCAGAUCAAGUAUGAUUCUUAUUUCGUAUCCUAUCCAAACUCAAAGUUUUUUUAUCAGGUCGGGUUAUUUGCCCACCCCGACUCGUAAAGGUCACGAGAAUGAACAUUUUUGCUUGGUCGAAUUUGGGUGGAUGGUUUGGGUAAAGUGUUGGAGACAACGAUGUCAUUUCUAAGAUAAUGAUUUGUUUUUUAGUAAGUGAAAUAUUAAAGGAAAAUGAUAAAGAAAAGACAAAAUUAUGACGAUAACAUUUGCCUUUUAGUUAAAAUUUUAAAUUUUUUUAUAAUUUCAUAUUUUUCUUAUUUUGAAAUGCUCAAAAUAUAGAUUAUAAUACUCAAUGCCACUUUAAGUGUGUGUAAAUUUCCAUUAUGUAUAUUGAUAUUUAUUUCUUUAUUUUAUUUUUAUUUAUUAACCAUCAAUGAUAUGAUUUAAUCAGGUAAACACACAAAUUAAGAUAUAAUUAUAUUUAGUCAGAUAAAUACUCAAAUCAAAUCAAGAGGAGAGAAGAGAUAAUACUAAUAGUAUAAUACCUUAUUUAAAAUAAAGAAAUUAAGAAAAGCCGACAACAAUCACGAAGACUUCCAUACCUUUUUUACUCACUUGUAAUUGUGCAGAAGCACAUUAUUUAUUUAGUUAUCUAUUUUUUUAUUUCUUCAGUUACUUCACUUGCAAACCCAUGCAAUAGUAUAACCUCGUUCUCAUAUUCACAAGCUGUAUGAGCUUGGAUUCGAACGGAAAAUUUAAGUUCGAACGGCAGCAUUGCUAAAUCCAUUGAAAUUGGUUCCACAAACAGUGUAUUGGCACGUUUAUCGGGAAACACAAGCCAAUCGUUCACCUCAAGUUCCGGUAACGGGUGGCCCGCAAAAACCUUACCGACUGCAGUACACGUUGGUCGAAACACCGUCGACUUGUAGGUAGUCUGAUUAUUGCUGGAGGCGGAAGUACAAAUAUGAGUUCUGCACUUAGUAAUCACUUGCUCAUUUGAUAGCCACCCAAAAGAUCAGUAUUUCCCAUCACUAAUCCAGUACUCUCUUAGUUCAUCUCGAACGAGCUUCCCUAUAAUUUUAGUAGCCAGCGUGAAAGCCAAGUCUGCGAAGAACCGGCCUGCCUCUGAAAUGACACCCAAGUAUCUAGCUUCUGCUUCAUUUUUGGAAAUAAGUUUGAAGAGCGUCUUUUAUGAUUCAAGCCGCUUCAUGGAACUGUGGGUCGCAAGCAAAGCCACCGCCAAUAUCCAAGAUACGCAUUUUAGUCGUUCAGCCCAGCUGCCGCCGCGAAAACCGUUUUAGCCGCAGCUAUAGCUGCCCGAAAUGCAGCUAGGUUUGUGGCUUCGCAUCCUAUAUGGAGUGCAACACCCAUUAGAGGAAGCCUUGAAGCUUCAGCGGCUUCAAGAAGUUGCACAGGUUCCCCAGGAUUAGCACCGAAUUCGGAAUCCAACGUAUACCUUGCUCCACCAUCUACCGGGGACUUGAUCCGGAUCGAUAACUCACAUUUCGAAUGCCACAUCCGAAUCUUAUCAAGCUUCCCCCUUCGAAUCAAAAGUUGUUAAGUUGACUCCAACACUCUCAGUAUACUUAAUAUGAGAGAUUGGGUUACACGCGUUGGCAUAAUUAAUGCAAUCGAUCGGGUGAAACACCUAGUGCCAAAACAGAUUCAAUCUCCGAAGGGCUUGCGCAGUCAACGUUUGCGCCGAGAGCAUCAAGUGUUUCGAGGAUAGCACUUGACGGCGUAGUAGGGGUGAACCAUCGGAAGGUUGGAGAUCAAUGAUAAUAGAGAGAAAUGAUGACCUAAAUCCAGUACGUAAAAGGUUUCAUCGAGUUCUUGUCGCUUCAAAACUGUUGACUUCAUGAAUUCAACGAACCCAUCUUCUGUUGUCACUGUGGGGACUCCCUCGCUUGUAACAACUAGUGGCACAUCCAAAUCCAUCGUGCUUGUGAUUUCCUUGUGCAACGACCCCAUGGCAGUCGAUCUCGAUAGAUUUGGAAAGGGAAAUAAGUAACAGAUAAAAGAUGCAAGCGUUGAUAAUGAGCAUGUUGUAUUGCCAUUGGAACGCUUAAAUAGAGAGAAAUUAUCAUAUAUUUAUUAUUAGGGAAAAUUCUUGGGUGAUCAUAUUAGAGUAUUGCUCUUUUUCGUCAUUAAUUAUCAUUUCUAUGUUUUAAUUUGUAUACAUAUAUGGUAAGUAGUAAAUGAUUAAGGAGCACUAAAGAUGCAUAAUAGUUGAGAUUGAAAUUGAGAUUUAAAUGCUAGAAUCUGAAUCAUUAUUAUACUUUAAAUAUAUAAUAAGGAAGAAAGAACGAAAGUUUAUUUAGCUAAUUUGUACUAUUUGGUUGUUGAAAAGAGCAAAAGGAAAAGCAAAGAGAAAGUUGAGCAUCGAGAGAGAAAAUUCUGAUCAAAUGAAAGUAAUGGUUGUCAUUAAUCAUGAAUUUGAUUACAAGGCUUUUUAUAUCAACAUCUGUAAUAUUCUACACACACCAAAUGCAUGAGCUAGCUGAAGUUAAUUACAAAUAAACUUGUUACCAAACUGAUAGCUGAGUAACAGACUCAUAACUAACUUGCUGACUAGGUUGCCAAAUCAUCGCCCUUAGUUAAUUAAUAGAUCAAAGCACUUGAAGAUUAUAUUCCUUAACAUCCCGUCUCAAGCUUAAGGUCUGGGAAGUACAUUAAGCUUGCUUCGAACAUAAGCAAAGGUAUCAAAGGAGGGUUUAGUGAGAAUGUCAACAUACUACUCAGAGCUAGAAACAUGAGUGAUUUGAAGUUGUUCUAUGCAAUAUGUUCUCGAACAAAAUGAAUAUCCAGCUCAAUAUGUUUUGUUCGAGAAUGAUACGUUGCAUUACUAGCCAAAGUUCAGCACUCUUGUUACCACAAUAUGAAGUGGGAAUAUGAACUAAGGAAAUCCUCAGCUCUGGAAACAGAUAAGUAAGUCAAAAGAUCUCUAAAGUUACUAGAGCUAGAGUUUUAUAUUCAGAUUCAGCUGAAGAACAAAAGACAAUGUGCUGCUUCUUGAAAGACCAAGAAAUAAGAUUGUUGCCCAAAAACACAAAAUAACCACCAAUGGAUCAUCGAUCAUCAGGAUCAGAUGCCCCAAUUAACAUCAGAAUAAGUAGUCAAAGUCAAGGAGCUUGAGUUGAAGAAUUGAAGGCCAAAAUGUGUUGUGCAUUGAAGAUACCUUAGAACUCGUUUACAGGCUUGCCAAUGAAGAGCAGUAAGCGGAGCUAAAAAUUGACUAAGCUUAUUCACAACAUAAGCUAUAUCAGGUCUGGUGAUAAGAACAUAUUUCAGAGAACCAACAAUACUUCGAUAUAAGAAAGGAUUAUAAAAAACUGCACUUUUCCCUUUAUGAAGUUUAUCAGUGGUAUUCAUAGGUAAGAUUAAUACAGACCUUGCAUGAAUGGAGUGACCUCAAGGCUAAGAAAAUAAUUGAACUCCCCUAAAUCUAUGAGUGCAAACUCUGAAUUGAGGUUGUGAAUAACAUGCUCAACAACUUUGGAAUUUGAUCCAAUUAUGAGAAUAUCAUCCAUAUAGAUGAGAACAAGUAAAAUAUCAUUCCCAAAAUACUGAAAAAACAUAGAAGUAUCAGAUUUGAAUACAUGAAAACCUCGGUCCAAUAAAAAAACAUUUUAACUUGUCAUACCAAGCUCUUGGAGCCUGUUUAAGGCUAUAUAAGACUUUGUUAAGCCUACAAACAUUAAAAGGAUAAGUAGAGUCUAUAAAGCCCUCCGGUUGGUGCAUGAAUACAUCUUCUGUAAGAACAUCAUUAAGGAAUGCAUUAAUAAUGUCGGGCUAUCUAAUUUGCCAGUGAUGCAUAACAACUAGGGUUGGAAAAAACCUGGGUCCGGUCUGGGUUUGGCCUUCCCCGAGACUGGCCUGGAUCAAUAAAACAGCUGCCUGGACCCAGAUUAGAGCCUGAUUUUUUCACAUCUGGUCUGGGUUAGGCCUGGCACCUCUCGGGCACAGGUUUUUUAUCCGGGCUUUCCCUACCUGGAUAAAAUACUGCCCUACUGGUUUUGGAAUUGAUUUGUCGCAAAUAAAAUCAUUUACAGAUUUUUUAUUUGAAAAUGACUCAUUAUAGAGAAAGCCAAAAUCAAGGAAAAAGGCAAAAAAAAACAAAGAACCAUAGCCAUAUAACAACACGUAAGGCCUAUCAAAUGCUGCUCAAGCACUCAAGAGUCAAGAGCUAAGCCUGUCAAGUGGUGGUCAAAGCACUUAAGAGCCAAUACCUUUUGCUUUUUGCAAUCAGAUGAUGAUUUUGCAGGAUGUAUAAGAUGCUUUUGCAAUCAAUGCUGGCUUGGAGUGUUUGUUAGGAGUGUUUGCUUUUUGUAGCCGGCAACUUGUGUUUCCUUUGAAUGUUGAGCGGUGGCCGCUAGCUUGGAGUGUUGGAGAGUUGGAGGUGCGACAGCCAGCAGCACUGCUUGUGUUUACAUAAGAAUAUGAUAGAAAAUUAAAGUAAGUUUCAAUUUUGGGCGUAUUAUAUUUAUAUUUUCUUUUUUUAACUUAUCAAAACCCGAACACGGAUCCAAGUUCCGAGUUUUUGGUGCCAUGACCGGAACCAGACCCGAAAGCAUCUGGAUUUUGAAUUUCAAUAACCGAACCCAUUUUUUAUAGAUGCCCGGACCGGAUUAGCCGAGUCCGGGCCGGAUCAAGUCCGGGCGGGUUUUAUUGCCACCCCUAAUAACAACCAAACUUAAAACUACUUGGAAAGUACAAAGUUUUACUACUAGGUUGAAGGUCUCAA
rnacentral:lncRNA from 1 species